AUCAUAAAUCUAAUCCCAGCUCAAAAAAACAGUGACAUGUUCAUCUGCACUCCAAUCCUUGACAAGGUUGAUUCAAGUGUUCUCUUCAAAACCUCCUAGCAGUCCGCAUUCCACCUAAUCUCAUUUAGGUUUGAAUAACCCAAAGGAAGCUCUACUAAAUCUAGUGCCCAGUCUCCGUCUAUAGUACAUUGAAAAAUCCAUGGCCAUGAAAACAACUUCCCUCGAGGAAUGGAGAAAUGCGUAGAAUGAAGAGUGUCAGAGUGCAUAAAUCCAUGGCCUGAACAUUAUGGCGUUGCUCUGAUUUCUUCAACCAACCAUCCAUGAAGAUAAGUCAGUCUCCGCAUCGAUCAAGUCAUGGAUGCAGAUGUAGAAAAUAAAAAUGUGGCAUGCGGUCCUCUUAGUCAAUAGUCAGUAGCAGUUCUUCAUUUGUGGCCUCUUGUUUGGGGCAAAGUCUUACCAUAGACUAUGUGUAUAAGCCAACCGUCUAAUCUGAGAUUAAGCAUGGAUCGCAAAGUAUUGUGUAGCUAUAGAUGGCCUCCAUCAAAAGAUGGACGAUCAUCACACAAAGUAGCCUACCAGUAUAUACCAUAUUAUACAUGACACAUGUUGUUUGAUAAUCGUCCUUGUUCCGAUAGCAGCCAUCUAGAAAUACCAGCACUCUACAGUGCAGUUCGUGCACUACAAAGGAUCCUGGUGGGAUUCUAUAAGCCUACACUGGGUAUCAGGGCUUUUCUACCUACUCUUUGCACUCGCCUCCCGAAACCCCAUCAUAUCUAUGAAUUUUCCGCCGCAAUGAAAAAAGCCAGGUUUGGUGCCUAUCGGUUUUCAGUUAAAUACAAGGAUGGCAUGAGCAAUUGAGCAUUCCAUUAGGCUUCCUCCACUUGCCCAAGUUGUAAUUUUGUACCUUGUGCAUGUUGGGUUGAUUGCAUUACCUAGAGGCAGUUUCCGACUCAAUCCUGGCUAACUAUAUCCCAUGUUAUGGCUAUCACACCAUAUGAUGGCAACGUUGGGCUCUCAAGCCCUUAUCUCUUUCUCCCCUUCUGAGAAGUUUAGCCUAACAGUAAGUAGGGCCAUGUAUACCAGAACACUCUCGACCUAAUUAUAAUCAUAUUCAAUUAGUUGUGCCCUAAUUAUCUUAAGCCAACUUUACAAGUUCUCAUCACGGAGCAUCCUUAUUCCAUAUCUCCUACAAUGUCAUUUCAUGUUUUUCUUUUCAGAUUAAGAUAUCUAUAUUUAUUGGAGCUUUUUUAGAUCUUCCUCAGUUGAUUCCAUGUCACCUCAUCUGAUACAACACGCCAACUAAGUUAAGAAAAAAAAGCCAAAUUUCGAAGCGUCUGACUUAAGGGAUAAAUUGAUUGUUAGCCACAACUUAGAAUGGAGGAGAGAUCCAUUCAAUGUGGGUCAUGAUUUUUAUUCGUACCCAUCAGCUAUCCUUAUCUCAUCAUCUGCCGUGCGAGUCUUGCAAACUUCGCUAUCCAAUUCAUGACAUGACUCCGUUUCCGUACUCAUCUCACCUGAUGGGAAUCAAGCCAAUUCUUUGGCCUAGAAUUGGCCAGAAUUUCGAAGCAAAUUACUCUCCAAACUAAAUGCAAACCACGAUGCAUGUUUAUUUCAAAUUAACUCAAUCAUUUGAAGGAGCCGAUAUCACGGAUAAGGUUGCCCCCCUAUUCAAUUUUGAUGAGCGCCGAAUCAAAUAGCUUUUACUAAUGCCAAUCCAAAGCAGCUGAAUAGAGACAGCUUAAGUGACAAGUCUAUUCAAUUGACUACCCUGACCCACGUCAACUGACUUCCCUGAUUUCACCAUCCCUUAAGUCACUCUCCACAUCUAUUUUAUCCUGGAUUGAAGAAGAUAAAAGGUGGCAGGCCCCCUUUCCUUGAUUUUUUUUUUAAAAAAAAAUUAAAUGUACCAGAAGAUGAGCCUGAUAAUGUGGCACAAUCGGAUUCAUCUAGAUCACAACUGAUAUGGCAAUUGAGAUAUAUUCUGUAACUCCUUGAUAUUAUCAGGCCACGUCAAUUCUAACCGAUCCGAGAGUUAGACCGAAUAAUUGUAAGUGACUGACCUCUGAGAUCAGACAUCGUUCGAUGUAUUGGAUGAAGUCUUAUAGUUUGGCUGGAUAACUAUUCAGCUUGGCGAUUAUCCCGAGCCGACCUGAGUUCCUUUAUGUCGAUCAGCAAGUUCAACACUUACAUCAUGCUGAAAGUUUAGAUUAUAAUGAUGGCCCUCGAUAGUCACAGUGCAUACUAGACAGCUACACAACAUGAUUUUAGGUGGUUAUAGCGUAUCUUGAGAUAGUUACAAUAUAAUUCUGGACGGUUACUACACAUCUCUCAACAGUUAUCAUACGAUAUUAGUUUGUUACAACAUAACCUUCAUGUGAUAUCGGAUCCCAUUGCUAUAUAUAGAUCCAAAACUUUUGCAUAAAAAAAACCCAUUUUCCGAAUACUGCUCAAGUUCCGUCUCUUUCCUAUACCAAAUACUUUUUUUUUUAUUUAAGUAUAGGAGAGCCCGACUGAAACCAACUUCAACAAGUUCUAUGAUAUAUUGCUAUUUUGCAAACUGCUAUGAAAUGUUGUUAUUUUGGAAAUCGAUGGAGGCGCUCCAUGUCAGCAAUUUGGAGAUCAACAGCAAUAGGAAGGAAAACCAUCCAAAAUUUAAUUAUCCAGUCGAAUCCCCCUGGUGCACCACCUAUGACUCAAAACCAUCAAUAACAGCUCCUCAUCUUUGGCCCCUGAGUUCUGUAUCAAUUGCUGCGAGAUUUAGGAUUCCAAGCAGAAGUUAUGUAUCAAUAAUGCCUAGACUCCAUGGAGCCGCAGAGACUUGAGGCAGGAGGAAGCCCAUCUUCUAAUUUUAAACCAAAGCAGGAGGAACCUCCUCCNNNNNNNNNNNNNNNNNNNNNNNNNNNNNGGAUCCCCCUAGACCCCAUCAACCAGCUAAAAAGUAGACCAGCCCAAUAAUAUUCAACCACAUCAUCUGAUUUUCCACUGAACAAAAUAAAAAAUAAUAAUAAUAAAGCUACGAACUCCAUUCUCUUCCCUCCGCCAUGGAUUCCGACGAUACAUUCGAAUAUGAAAUCCAGUCCCGGAAAUACAACAUUCCACUUUCCUUCCUCGCUCCUAGAAUGGCUCAAGGGUUCGACGCCUGAAGAACAUUACCACCAACACCCCUGCACCCUCUUUCUCUGCCUCUCUCUUUUUGUGUCUCUUCUCUCCCACGGCUCCGGCAGAAAGAUCCCCAACCAUUCUUACCCCUUCUUUCCCUCCUUAGAGGAACCUUGAGUUAUUGAUCGGAGCUCAUCAAGAACGCCAAGCCCUCCUCUUCCACUUAUUGUACAAGCCCCAUGCAUUCACACAAUUAGAGGAUUAAUUCAAUCCUCCAUUGGAGAUUUGAGUAGGGUUCGGGAUCAAGACGGGGGUGAUGCAAUGCAUGCAGUCUAGUAGCACUGAUAGACCCACCCUUCUUCUCUCAAAAUCCCAACCUACCCCAGAUCGCCACUUUUCCCAUUUCUUUGCUCCCUUCGUUGCCGGGAGGCGUGGCGGCGGAGCAUCGCCGGCGAGGGGGCGGUCACAACUGGUCAUCAUCCUCGUCGAUGAUAUCGAAUUCGUCAAUGCAGUCAUCAACUACAGUGUUGAAGACAUCGUUGUCGGUGUCGUCGAGGAGGGCAUAAGAUUGGAGGAGGAACCGUCGAGAUAAAGAAGCCCUAGGGAAGGGGUAGGAAGAGAGGCUGGAGUGGAGGAUAAAGAAGGAGAGGAGCAGGAAGAGGAGGGCGAAGUGGUGACAACGAUUCAGCUGACGCCUUGGGUGGCGAAGAAACGGGCCAUGUCGACCAUUGGGAUCGUGAGGCCAGGGCUCGUCAGGGGGAAGAAGAGCAUGGAGAGGACGCCGGCGGAGGUGGAGACUCGCCGGUGGAGGCCGUGGUAGUCGGAGCCCUCGAGCCGUUCUAGGAGGGAGGAGGGAUCGUCAUCGAAAUCCAUGGUGGAGGGAGGGGAAGGAAAUGGGUUUCGUUUCUCUCUUUUUUUUCAAAAAAAUAUUUUUUUAUAAUUUAUUUGAUAAAAAAAAUUAGAUGAUGUGGCAGGAUAUUAUUGGUCUAGUAUCCAACUAAGUUGGUAGACUCCGCCUACCUAAUAAUUUCGCGUUAAAGGUGCCGCUUUUUUUUUGGCUUUCCAACGCCAUGAGCUGCCUCCAAGACUCCCUUUACCCCAGCCGACGUCUUGCAGCUUCUGCAUGUUGGUGGUGGGCAAGGUUAGGCAACAGGUAGUUUCAGACCGGUCCUUACAGGGGUUAUCUCGGCCCAAGGUAAAGUUAUCCCGGUCAUGUUUGAGUUCUUGAAACAGAGUGCAGGAUGUUUUGAAUUUAGAACCAGACUUGAGAGGAAAGCAGCGUAUCGAUACAGGACUCAUUGUAACUUGUCAGAAAAAGUUCUUCUUUUUUUUCUUUUGCUAAAGAAAAAGUUCUUUCAACGUUCAAAAAUAGAGUACCACGAAAAUUCUUUUGCUAGCAUCUGAGGAUCCGGUUGGCUCGCAAGCAAUUGGCUAAGCUCCGCAAAUUCUUUUCCUUUUUCAGUCAUAAGCUGAUAUGUAUUUUCUAAAAUGUUAAAUACACUCCGAUUUCAAUCGCACUCAUUUUUUUUUAAUUUUUCACUAUUAGAAAAAUUAACAUUUUAAGUCCUUAUUGAUCAAUUUCUCUUUUGUUAUGAUCAUUUAUAAUUUUAUUUUAUUUUACAUCUUCUCCAUUUAAUAUUGCUACAGAGGGAGGUCCCCAUUUCAACCUAAUUAGAGGAGAUCUGGGACCAGCGAACUCGAGUGGAAGCAGUGUCACGUAUGACGCCACGUGCACACAUCCUUCACGAAGCUGUGGACUUGUUUCAGGAAACAUCUGGGCGUUUACACCUGAUCCCCGCACCGCCGAGGCCAACCCUUUUGUCGCCUCGAUCUCCUCCGUUCCCGUUCCUGCAAACUCUACCCCUUCUCCCUUCCCUCCUCCGGAGUCCUAAUUCGACGAGCAGAUCGAUUCCUCUAUGAUUUCGAGGCCUCAUCCCCUCCUCCUCCUCUUCUCCUCCCCCUCGUCCCAUGUGCAAGACCCGACGCGCCGCCGCGGCCUCCGAUCCCAUGCCCAGGCGGUCGUCCCGCUCCUCCGCCAGCUUCCCGGUCACCGACUCCGGUAGCUACCACCACGCCACCACCUCGUCCAUCACCUCCUCGUGGGCCGUCUCCGCCGACUCCAAGGCCUCCUCCUCCCCCUCUCUCGCCGCCAUCCGCGACUCCCUCCCGGAGACGCCCACACUGUACCCCUUCUCCGAGAUCAGCGCCGCCACCAACAACUUCCUUGCCCGCCACCUCGCCUCCGCCUCUUCCUCCUCCUCCUGGCGAUGCUCCCUUCGCGGCAAGGACGCUGUCAUCUUCCAGCGCCCCUUCCGCGGCGACCCCGCCGGCCUCCCCGCCCGCCUCGCCGCCGUCUGCAAGAGCCACCACAGCAGCCUCGUCCGCCUCCUCGGCGUCUCCCUCGCCGGCGACCACAUCUACCUCGUCUACGAGUACUCCCCCGGCGCCACUCUCGCGGCGUGCCUCCGCAACCCCCGCAACCCCAAUUUCACCCCUCUCUCCUCCUGGAUGUCUCGCAUCCAGGUCGCUGCCGACCUCGCCCAGGGUCUCGACUACAUCCACCACCACUCCGGCGUCAUCCACAAUCGGAUCAAGAGCUCCACCGUCCUCGUCACCGAGCCCCAUUUCCGCGCCAAGUUCUGCUACUUCGGCGCCGCGGACCUCGCCGGCGAGGUCCCCGCUACGACCAGCGCCGAAGACAAGGAGGAGGCGGCGGGGGAGAUCUCUCCCUCGUCCCCUCCGUCUCGCAAGAUGAAAAGAUCGGGCAGCCGCCGGAUGAAGAUCGAGGGGUCUAGGGGGUACAUGGCGCCGGAGCUGCUCGCCGGCGGGGACAUCUCGCGGCGGUCCGACGUGUACGCCCUCGGCGUUGUGCUCCUGGAGCUCCUCUCCGGCGACGAGCCGCUCAAGUACCGGUUCGACGAGGAACAGAAGGACUUGCACAGGGUCUCCCUCAUCGAGACGGCAAGGAAGACCAUCUGGACGGAAGAGGACUCCACCGAGCAGGAUCGGCGUUGGAGGGUGCGGCGGUGGGUGGACCGGAGGCUGCGGGACUCGUACCCGGUGGAGGCGGCGGAGGAUCUGAUGCGGGUGGCGCUGCGGUGUGUGGAGCCGGAUGCGGCGUUUCGGCCGGACAUGACGUGGGUGGCCGGAAAAGUAUCCAAAAUCUUCUUGGACUCCAAGGCGUGGGAGGAGACGGUUAGGCUUCCGGCGGACUUCUCGGUGUCCAUAGCUCCGCGGUGAGGAUUAGCGUCGGAGACCGCGGUGGUGGCCAUGGAUAUUGACGGGAGUCACGCGACCGGACGAAUUCCCCCAAUUUUUUAUGUUGGUAUUUUUGUAAUUUUGUGUUCAUAGGAUUAAUUGUACCCUGGAAGAGCAGAGAGCUGACAAAAGGUUACACUGAUAAGAAUUUUUUUGAUAUGUUUAUGAUUUAAUUAAUUGACAUGUGAUCGGCCACAUCAUUACCAUCUAAUAAAAAUUGCGUUCAUCAAAGCAGGUUCCUAAAGCCAGUCUCAACCUAAACGAAAACCGAAUCGGAAACCUAAUGGGCCAGCCUUUAAUUUCCGGAUUCCCAGUUGGGCCCAGUUUACUAAUUGCCAACAAGAACAUGGGAAGAUGUAGGCUGAGGCCUUCAAUUAAGCAAGCCCAAUUUGGACGACAAGUAGUUGAUGGCCCAAACCCGGCUCGAACUACUUGAAUUCUCUAAAGAAUUCAUGACACAAAAUAUCUGGGGAUCGAUCUCAUGACUGCAUCUUGAGUAUAGAGAACUUUCUUUCUUUCUUCUUCUCUUUUUUUUUUGUUCCUCGAGCAAGAAAUCAGGGGGAAAAAAAGAUCUGUAUUUUGUUUAAAAAAGACCAUUUGGGCGGUUUGUAUGUACUUAUUAUUUUUAAAAUAGAUCUGCAUAUAUAUGGCAGCGGGGAAACAAAAGAAAAAGAUAAUUUUAAAAAAUAUAUACAGGUUAUGGAUUUGCCACUGGCUUGUACAUCACGCGGUGUCAUAGCUGGGCGUACCGUGGGUUUGUGGGUGUCACACCAACACAAGUGGAUGGGAAAGCUCCGGAUGGAGGUGUUUGGGCGUCACACCAGCACAAGUGGAUGGGAAAGCUCCGGGGGGAGGGAGGGAGAAAUAAAGAGGAAUGGGAUGCAGGUGUUUGGGUGUCGCACCAACACAUGUGAAUGGUACGUAGAACCGGGAUUAAGCAGGAUGGCGGUUGUUUUUAGAUGCUGAUGCCUUUUUUUUUUAACUUUUUUGAGGCCAAUCAUACAUUUGAGAAAUAGGUACCUCUCUUUUGUCACCAUGAUGCAUUGUGUAUAACACCAAUAACAUCUUAUCGAUUCUAUUUUCAAGAUAGGUGAUAUGGUUGCUAUCCGCAGUAGUAUAGAGCCCUAUGAUGUAAAAGCUAGAGCUCAAGUUGGACAUUUUUUUUUCUGGGUAGAAAAAAAGGGGUAGGAGGGAGGAAAGGACAAGUCCGCCCCCGAGUAGCAGCCUCACUGAGCGCCCGCUCCGCCAGGAGAGUGUUCGAUGCGGGCAGAAGCUCAAGUUGGACAUUCAGUUUAGUUUUUUACUUGGGUUGGACCAAGGAAGUAUUGGAGGAGAGUUGAAGCUAGGUAUCCCCGCUUCUCACCUCCGUCUUGUAGCCCAAAAUCAUCAUCAACAUAUCUUAUUCGUUAAUUUCUCAAAUAAAAAUAUUUUUGUUUUGAAGUAGUUGGACAGGAACUGCAAGUGGUGAUGAUAACAAGACCCGGGACGUGAUAGCUGAAGAAGAUGUUCUCCGACAUCCGAUUCUCCCCGUAACGAAUGACAAAAUGGAAAACAAUUAGAUUCUCGAAUUCCAGCCCUCACCCAUCCCUAAACACGGUGAAGUUAGUAGGUCAAUCAAUAAUUCAUCCAGAAAAAGGCGAGGAGAGAGGAGCCUGUGAUCCCUCGGAUGGCAAGCCAUGCAUGUUUCCCAGCCUCACGUCACUACAGUAACCUUAGCCCACGCCUACUAAAAGCUAUAAUUAUAUAUCACAUCUAAUGCAUCAACGAUGGGCCACUCGCAUCCACUUGUCAAGGACUUUCUUAAGCAUGUGAUGAUGAGGGAGAUUCUUGGGCGGCGGAUUACAAAUAUUAUACAUAGCAAGUAUAUUUACUUGCCUUGAAAUUGUUAUUUCAUAAAAGGUGAUAAUCGACUAUGCUAUGGGUCAUCUUACACAGCUAUAAUUUUUUUUGUUUUAUAUUCAACGAAGAAGUGUGUGACGGAUUACAAACUAAAAGUUACGGCAACUGCCGCAUAUUCAUAGAAAACUCUCUCCAUGAGCAUGCAAGACAUCUUAUCAUGAUAUCAUAAUCAGAUAGUAGCAACAAUUUAAAUAAUAUCGUUCAAAUUCUAAUUAAAUAAUACAAUUAAAAGUCUUACAAAAUCAAAAAUAUUUCAAAAUCUUGCAACUACUCUAAAACAAGAAUAUUACUUACCUUGCAAUUACAAUCCAACUAGUAGAUCUAAUUAAUUCCGAAAAUCCUCCUCGAAGCCUAAUAUUUCAAAAUUUUACAUUUUAUUAGAAUUUCAUCAUCAAUUAUUUUAAAAAUAAAAUUUCUAAAUUCCAACACCAUUAUAGGGCUGAUUAAACAAGAAUGCCUAACAUUCAGGCCGGUUUGAUCAAGGUGAUUUCAUCGAAUAAUGCUCGAACUAGGGCACAUAUGGUUCAACAACGACCGAGAGUGAUCAAAUCUAACAAUAUUUGGCAAGAAUCAGGUGGGGGUUGACACAUUGCCUGAUGACCUUGUAUCAGGUCCUUCACCUAGGUUGAUCCAGAAAUUACUAAGAGUUGUACUUACGGAGUUCAAUCAACCCUAAAGAGAGAAAGUCUAGAUAGAGAGAGAAACUUUGUAGAGAGAGAAGUAAGAAAAAGAAAUGGUGGAAAAGAGAUAGAAAAGAGAAAAAACAAGCUUCUCUCUCUACCAAGGAAGAUGAAGGGAAGGAUGUGGCUACAAGUGAUGCUAUGGGUCAAGGACUCAUGGCCGAGCAACAGACGGCCAACAGCGACUAAACCAUGAGAAACAGGGAUUUCAACCUUUUAAAUCACGAAAUCAAGGUGUUCCGAUAGUAGAAACUGGAGCCAAGGCUACAACCUGCUGCGGAGGAACAGAGGGAAGCCUCAAUGAGAAGAACUGUCGGUGGAACAUGCCGGAAUCAAAAUAAAAAAAAAGAAGAGCUUGCUUUCCGCAAAAAGGAGAAACUGCAGCUUUGCCACUUCUCAUCCAAAUUUCGGUGAUCAUCAGCCAAAAUCAAGCUUUCAAGGAUUUCUUCCCCGGCUUUCGGCGACAGUGGGCCACGGUGGUGGCGCUGACACAGUCGACAAUUGCGGAAGAAAUCGAAAAGAAAUCCUGCGACUAAACUCCAAUUGGGACUGGCUUUCUAGCGAGGAAGGUGGGGUGGAGCUUAUAUAGAGCGGAUACUAGGGUUUCCUAGUCUUCGGUAGAAUUCGAGGAGGAGGAGGACCAUCGUGCUUAACAAGGGUGGUUCUUUUUCGACGGGCCUUCGAAUGCUGGGCCGGGUUAACAGGCCGGCCUAGUGAGGCUAGGCCUCACAAAAUACCUUUAACUGGCGAUAUUUAUUUAUUAUUAUUUUUUUGGUAGAAACCUAGCGAAUUUGUUAAGGUGGAACUCGUAGCUAGGUGUCUUCGAAAGAUAUAAAUUUACUCGCACACUAAGAGGGGGAAAUAAGAUCAUUAACCGAGUUCGGCAAACUUGACUAUAAGUGAAAAUUUUCCAAAAUAGUUAUGGUGCGAGGUCAAAAACUCUUGCCUUCAAUGCAUGAGGAAUGCCCUAAAAAUUGUAGUGUAAGCUAACCAUACAUGUAUGAUAAUUUUUUUUUCUUUAGAUAAAUCUAAUGAUUUAAAUUAAAUGAGAGAAGAUACGUCCACAAGAAUCAGAAAAUAAGAUGUUACAAAAGUGUAUAGGAAGAUCAGUCAAGGAUGCCUAUAAAGUAGAUCCCAUGUGAUUCGCCACAUUAUUCUUGUGCCAUAGGGAAGCCACAAUUGUCAAAUUUCUAACUAUGAUGUUUAAGAUGCAAUUGAACAUCAAUCUGAUGAAUCGAAGCGAACCGAGUCUUUCAUAUCGGUUUCAAAUGGUUCUGAUAGGUGGCCGGCUUAGCUUUGGUUUUAAGAAACCGAUUUAUACAUAACUCUAGUGAUAUACUUAUUCCAUGUAGUUUUCUAUUAUGUCUGUCGUGUCACAUAUAUAUUAUAAAUAAUCUGAUUGCAGGGCCGUAUGUAUCUCCCCGGUGCUGCCCGAGCUCUGAACUGAAAUCUAAAUAAUUAGCAUGCAUAGCUCUUGUUUAAGGAGCAAGUACCGGAGGAGUGCACCAAUAACUGCAGGUCUCCGCAGGCAUGGAUGUUCCUCUCACGUGAGCUGACUGCUUUACAAUGACCUUCGUCAAAGAUCAAUGCAUCCAAAACCGAGCAAAGGAUGCCGGACGUCCCACUCGAGGGCCCUUGGGAAGCACAAACUCUUCCACAAAUCUUUAAUCUAAGCAUCGUUUUCUCGUCUAAUGUUAUUUCCGGGAAGAGGAACUGUCCGGUUUGACGCGACCGUACCCUGAUGCCCAGAACGAAUUUUAUGCAUUUCCGGGCACCAUUAAGCCUUCAUUCUUUAAUAAGAGCUGCUUCAAGCCUUCUUUAACAGAAGGAUAAUCCCGGUGUGUGCAUGUGUGUGUGUUUUGAAGCUUGAAGAGCAGAGUUUUCCAAAUGGAAGAAGUAAUAUUCUAAUAUUCUGCUUCUAAAGUUGAAGGCAUUUUCAUUUUGUUUGGAUUAGAAAAAUAGGCAAGCCAGCGGGAUAAGAAAAUAAAAUAGCUGCAUGAAUGACCAGCCAUGGAGUUAGAAAAGCUUAGGUCAAUUGUCUGCAAUAAUUAAAAGGUAAAUUCCCAUCAUCCAGGUCGACGCUUACUCUGAAUUGAUCAUAUUAUUCCUGUAUAAUAAUGAAGUAGGAGAAUCAAACAUGGUGGGGACUAUGAGGAUAAGAAUCGAAUGAUAUAGGCCGGUUUGAUUUUUUUUUAAGGUCGCAUGGGUUGAUUAACUUGACAGACAACACUUCUUGUUAUUUUAUAAAUACAUCUGCAUCAGCAAAGCCCUUUAUGAGUUUGCUGUUAGAUCCUUACUUUACGAAGUAUCAUCGAGUUAUAAAACGUCAGAUAUGCUCUUCUGUUGCACUAGUCUUGAAACUCGAUCAACUCUGGACAAUAGAAAAUCAUCGGUACAUUCAAUAUUUUGCUAAGAUGGCAGUGUACAAAUAUACUUUAUGGGUUGUGGAUCAACUUUCAUAAACAAUUAUUCACCGAUAUUUAUUCCUAGCAUAUCGUUACAUGUAUACAUGCAUGGAAACUGUGAUAUUCCUCUUUCCUGAACAGUUGAUGUGCUUUGUAAAUGUGAAUCGAACAAGUUAAAAAUCAUGGCUAAAGCAAGUGAAAUACUUUAUCACUAUAACUGAUUUGAAUGGCAAAAUCAACAUGCACUCCAUAAUGACCGAGAUUCUGAUUAUUAUACAUAACAUAAGGUGGAGUUUUGUUAGGAUCCUUGCAAGAUGUAUAUGCAAAUUCAUAUCAAUUUUGUACUAAGUAGAUUUUAGGUAUCUAUAUAAGAUUAAUAAAUCUAAAUAAUACAUUAGGCUAGUUUCUUUUGGUGAGAUCGUAGAUUGCGACAUAUGGUAUCAAAGCGGGCCGGGUUAUAUUUAUAUAAAUAAAAAAACACUACGAUAUAGAUCUAUUUAUGUUGAUCAUUAACUAAUUGUAGACUUUUAGCUUAACAAGGAUAUUGGAGAUUAAAUUGAAUGAAUAUAUAAGAACUCGUGCAAACGUAUGCUCAGCUCCAUAUCAGUUAUGUACUAAGUAAAUUUUGGUACUUAUAUAAGAUCAAAGAAUCUAAAUGGUAUUUUUUGGCUCUUUUUUUUUAACUAAGAUUCUGAAUUGUUAUAAUUCUUUCUUCAAAAAAAAAAAAAACAUGAUUCAUUAGAUGCUAUAAUCCAGCACUCACCUACUGUGAUGAAUCUUUCUUUAAGAAUAAUAAUAAAAAAAGUUUAAGAUGAAGAAUCUUAAUGCAUGGGUAAGAAAUUUUUGGCUUCAUUAAAGAAGAGUCAACUACAAAUGUGGACAUUACAAGAAUGCACGCCAUUGAAGUUCUCACAGUUGAAGUCCUGACCCGAAAUCGAAUCACUGUUACAGACUGGAGUGAACUCAAAAAGUACACCAUUCUUUUCCAAGAGGGUAAAACAAAAUACCAACACAAAGUAAGUCAGAACUGGGUGCAGAUGUUAAAAAACAAAGAAAGAAAGCCUUCCUCCUUAAAUGCCUCCCACAGCAGAGAGAGAGAGAGAGAGAGGAACGGAUGCGAGUUAUCUCAUAUGAAUGCCGCCCAAUCCCACCCUGUCCCUAUUGGUCGGACCACGUAACGCUACAUGGGCCCCGGAAGACCACCGGACCGUGUCCCAUCUUCGAUGUCUCCUUUCAUCAGAUGACAACACGCAUAAGAUCGCGGCCGUCCAAUCACGAUUGGACGGGCGACUAGCUUGAAACCCUCCAUUCAAGAAGGUCGCGACAAGCUACUCGCAUUAAAAGGUCCGUCUUCAAUCUCGGCCGUCCAAUCAGGUAAGCACCAUUGAUUGGGCGGCUGAUACACACUGAUGGGUUGCGGUGGAGGUUCCUGUUGGGGUUCAUUCAAUGCACAGACAUAGUUGGAUGUCAGAUUACAGAAUCUGCUGUAGCUGCGGGAUCUCGCCCUUUAACUUAAAAUCACGCGGCUCACAUUCCGAGGCACGCGUAUCCGAAUCAUUGCAACCCACACGCAAUUUAAUGCAAUUAUCUCCCUUUAAUUGCCCCAACCCCACCAUCCUAAUUUAAGUAACUCUAAUUCCCCAAUUUUCUCGAUUUCCGAGAUAUUUCCGUGAGUUACUCUCUGACGGAAGAUUUCUUUGCAGGUCUUACCAAAUUCUUCAGUAGAAAUUGAGGCUGGUUGUAAACCAACGACCGUUAACUAGUAAUGUACGACAGAAAGCGACUGAAGGAGGUUAUGCAGUAAUUAUUUGGUAUAAUUAUCAGUGCGAUGGAUUAGAGACAAUUAUAUAACAUAAACAGUAAAAUGAGGGAGAGUAGGGCCUUCCCUAGAAGUAGGCUUUUUUUUGUUUUUUUUUGCCGUUCAUCAUUUUAGAAAUUUUUUUAGACCCAUUUUUAUCUAUUUUUCUAUGUUCAUACAAAAUUAGUAUGAGUUGUUGAGAUAAAAAAAAUAUAUCAUAUAUAUUUAUAUCAAAUUAAAAAAAUAAUUAUAAAUUGGGCUAAAACUUAUUAUUUAAUAAUCGUUUUACUUUUUAGGAACAAUAAUAAGUAUAUUAUAGUCAUUGCUGAAGUAAUUUUUUUUACUUGAUUUUAAUAAAUUAUUAAAAUAAAAAAAGAGAAAGAGAAGAAAUAAAAGAAAGUCCGUACGUGGAGCAGGCCUGAUGGCACCGGCGUCAUCGGUAAUCGGCAAAACCAUUCCCUCCCGCCUCAAGCAAAAGAUCUGGCGGUAGCCGGAGGAAACAACAAAAAGCCCGCGUGGGUUCUGGUGACCGCCCCGGUAAUCCCGGUGCCAGUCCUGACGUCACCUUCUCCCCCGACACCGUACGGCCACUCGAACUCCCCCACGAGACACGGCGUCCUCCAACCAUUCCCUGAAUGCCACGUCACCGAAAACUGCCACCACGACAGCGAUCAGUGGCAGUUGCGUCAAUCCAGUAGACUGCGAGGGGCGGUUCGCAUAUACCUCAUUUCGUAAGCAGCCAGUGGCACGGGGCCGUAAUAAUUACUUUCUGACAUGCCCUUUUCCGGAAUGCGGUUCCGCUUUGUUUCCGGUCCUUUAUAAACGAGGACGGAGAAAAGGAGGCGAAAUUUAUAUGAAAAAGAAAGGAAGCAGAGUUUUUUGUACGAAAAAGAGGGAGCGAAAUUUUCCAGGCGGCACUCACGCUGUAAAACGUAACGGCGAAGCUAUCGGAAGCCGUAACUCUCCGACGAAACCCGGCCGACGCGAGGUAAGUGGUUUUUUUUCUUCCCUUUCAACGAGUUUCUCGAAAUCCCGUAGGUUUUCUCGUUCCGCUCGCUCCGUCAUCGGCGAUCGGAUUUGGUAGAUCGCAAUCUUAUCCGUUGAUUCGUUCAAUAAUUGUGAUUGUCGAGAGGAACAAUACACCGUCACUUGGGAAUAUAUACUUAACGGCACGGAGGCCUUUUGCCGUUAAGCGUUACGGCGAAUUAUAUGGGGGGCUUGGAAGAAAGAAGGAUAACUUUGGGGUUCCCUCAAAAUUUUUUCGUUUCGGUCUAGCUUUUCCUUUAUCGAAAAAGCGGUUUAUUCUCCGCGUUUUGCUCUGUGGUUCGUGCUGUCUACCCAUUCCGCGGCAUCCCUUCCCUCCACGGCGGUAAAAACCAACAGGAUGGAACCAGAAAGAAAUACCGUACCUGGUAAAUAUUUUGCAUGCCCGAGGUAUAAGAUGUAUAAAAUAAAAGGGAAUACUAGGCUAUUUAAUUACUGUUAUACGUAGAGUUUUUUUUUUUUUUACUUGAGGGUUAUAGGUGGAAGAUGGAUGGAGAUGGAGACAGUGAGGACCCGAGAAGGGAGUUUGGUUUGCUUUCUCUAUCUACUGCCUUUUUCCUGGGCAUAUUUUAUACAUUUUAUGUAGGCCUAGGUUAUGGCAUAACCUUCACGCUUCUACUGGUGGCCUCUCUGCCUCCUCUCUCCGGCGAUUCAUCUUCUCUCCUUGCUUGAAAUCCUCGCAGCUUCUUUUCCAGCAUGCUUCUUCGUUUGUUUGUUGUUUACAUGAACAUCUCGAUGCUACUUCUCACAGAAGAAAACUGAUGUCUGCAUCAUCUAAAAUUAUCGCGAGCCUACCAAAAGAGCUGCUGCUGGAAGAUCAACACACAUGAAUUUGAUCGCUGCUCGGCAUGAACAGCUUGAGGCCGGAGCUCCACGUCGCUCAACAAAGCCGCCGCGAAAAGCUCCGGGUUCAGCACAGCCCGUGCCCGCCCGCCGCCCAUCGCGAAUUUCCCGGAACGAACACUCGAAAUUCCGAUCCAAUCCCGGAUCUCGCCCAGGUCCGGGACGUCUACGACCCGGCGUCCGCCAUGCUGGACUUGUCAGCCCGCGCCCAUAAUUUACCGUUGGCCGGCGCGGAAGCAUCCAUGAUCGGUCCGCUGCCGUCAAGCUUUCAUGAAGCGUCCGGGAGCCUCGCCCGUGCCGGCGAUCCCCCGAGCCCGUGCCUCUGGCGAGGGCAGCCGAACUGCGACUGGAUCGUUCCGAGCUUUGUCGCUGCCGGCGGCAGUGGAGCUCCGGAUAUGAUUACAAACCCUUUGGUCUCACCCGGUGUUUGCCACCCGAAGUCCGGCUUCUCGGGGUGUCGGGACGCAUCCAGCGAGCUUUCGAGCCAAGAGAGCCACCAACAGCAGUAUGGGGACUUGCACUUCCCCUCUUCCCAAUUCUACCAUCACGCUCUCCAAGGGGUGGUCACCUCCUCUCCCUCCACCGCGGGCAACCAUGGCCACGAAUUGGCCUCUAUUCUCCAACCCUCAAGCGUUCGCGGGCCCGGCCAGCCGUGCUCGUGGGUCGACGGUGGAAAUGAACUGCUUCUGCUGCUGCCCAGUUACGGUGAGCAGCCGAACACGGUGUGGGCGAGUCGUCCGCCUGCGCAAUGGAACGCGGAAGGAGGUUUUGCACGGGGUAAGGCUGCAGAGGAAUUUAAUACCGUUGGAAGCGAGGGAGGGACGCAAGGUCUGUCGCUAUCCCUCAACCCGGUGGCGGAUCUCCCUGUGGCGCAGUUGGGAGAGAGGUUUGGACUUCCAAAUGAAGCCGGGCACUCCUGCCCGCACCCCAAGUUCUCGAUCUGUGAUAGAGGUUAUGGGGUGUCGCUUCAAGGCAUCGUGAGCUCGUCGGUGGAUGCUCGGAGGGGCGCGGGGCCGCUCGGGCCUUUUACGGGAUACGCCACGAUUCUGAAGAGCUCCAAGUUCUUGAAGCCGGCUCAGCAGCUGAUGGAUGAAUUUUGUGGCUCUUCGACGGGGCCCAAGCUUCUCGAGUAUCGUGAUGAGGGUGGGGGGAGUUGCCAGAUCGCGAGUGCCGAUCAUGGUGAUUCACAGGUCGGUGAGAAGGAGAAUACUGGGAGGGGAGGGAAUCCGGCGGUGUCGUCGUCUUCGUUGCAUAGUUCGAUGGAAGGCGGUGGUGAAGCCGGUGCGAGUGGGGAGGCUUCUCAAAUUCAUAGCCCCGAGAUCCAGCAGAAGAAAGCGAAACUCUUGUACAUGCUGGAAGAGGUUAGUCUUAUAAGAGAUGAGAAUGCUUGCACUAUGUGCGCUGACAGUAUUUACUGCAUGGUAAUUAUUGUUAAUUUCCUACUUAAUUUGUCUGUUAGAAGUAAGCUUAAUUCUUUUUGCAUGUCAAAUCAUAGGCUUUAUGCUCCACUUUUCAUUGUUGCAGCGGUAUAUGAAGCGUUUUCUAUAGUGCUUAGGACUCUUCAUUGAUAUGCUGUGGCAGAUGACUUUGCAUUACUAUUCAUGUCCCCAAAUUGAAGGAUGAUAUGAAUGUCUUCAGAGGCAGAUUGCUGUCGCUUAAUUGGAAUGAUCAUUUUUGAGAUACCUUAAUUAAUUAAGCAGCAUGUAGUUUAUUGAUCUAAAACGAUUUGGUUCCCACUUUAAUGACCACCAUACUAUGGAGCUUUUACUUAAUCUUUUAGGUUGAGUUGAUGCGUAGGUUUUUUUUCUUUCUGUGGCGGGGACACAAUCCAUGUUGUAGCAACCCUAGGGAUCAAUUUUUUCUAAAACUAAUAGAGGCAGUCAUCUUUUUUGUUCUCUUCCAUGCCUCAUAAAUUGAUAAAUGACCUGUAAAUGUGAGUUAAUCCUUUCCCAAAAGUAUGUUAGAUGAACAGUGUUAAAGUGGUCGACAGGUUCUCUCAAUUUUACAAAGAAAAAAAAGAAAACAAUAAAAAAUAUUGUUGAACUUUAGUGAGUGAUAUAUAUGUAUGGAUAUACAUAGAGGUCUAUUUGAAUUUAGAUACAACCAUAGAUGUAAGUAUGUGUUAGGCCAAGUGUAUUUUAAGAUGUGCUGUUGAUUAUUUGAUUCCUGCAAUUCUCUUAGUUUUUUCAAUGUGUCCAGUCUUUGCUUUCUUUCACUCUAUGGCCUCUUCAAUUGAUAGCCUGGUCAUUUAUUUUGGGUAGCAUAUAUGUUUAUUACCUACAAAAAUUUAGAUUUUUCAAAUGUUACCACGCAUAUGCCGUAAUUUAGUUAUAAGUUGGGUAAAGAAAAAUUUGGAACAAAUAUGAUUAACUUUCAAAAGGGUAUGUGAACCGUGUUUAGAAUUAUAAUACAGUUAUUUGUUUCACUUCUUCAGGAAAAUAAGAUUUUUGUAUGUUUUGUCUUGUGCUCCUAGACCACAAGGACCUUUACAAUCUGUGUAUCUCAUCAUUUACUUUAGUUUGUCAAUUUGAUGAAUAGGGCAUACUUUCUUCUUUUUCAUGGUGUUUAGUCCAUUGUUCAACUAUCCGAGCUCUUCCACUCUCGGAGCAACUCUUUUGCUAAUUAGGUAUAUGGUUCUACAUCAGUCACAUUAUUCUUGAAUAUCUUGUUGAUGAUAUCUUGUACCUUUUCCCUUUUAUCUUAAAUUUUUAAUCCAAUGUAAAUCCUUAAACUCCUCAGUUCGGUAUCAUUAAGUUCUCUCAUGCUGUGUUCAGUCCUUGUAUACAUCCCAACUUUCACUAUUAGAAUUAGGCUUUUCAAAAGUUUUUGGCAAACAUGUGAUCCUCCAUAAGCCUUCAGUCAAAUUCUGAAACAAUUUUUAGAGCCUUUGUUUAAAGUUCCGCCAGUUAAUUUCCAGCAAGCCUCCAUUUUUUGCAGUUUAAGCUAAUAUAUAUCUUAAGGCAGAAGCAUUCAAGCGAGUAGAUAUUUUUUGCCUUCUCACAGCCAUAAGCUCCACCAGAUCUGAAUAUUAAUUUUUCCAUACCCAUAUACUAUGUUUAUGGGAAUUCUAAUAAAACUUCGAGUAAUGCAAUUUUUUAGUUGCUUUAAUGCUCAGCACUACAAUUGUGGCACUUAACUAUUUCAAAGAGAACAAGGCUGUAACUUUUUAGCUGCCAUAUUACAAAUGAACCGUUUCAAAUUUGACCCUGAUGCAGUCCAAUUUUUCUGUCUUGCAAAUGGUUUUGAUAUUUUAAUUAUUAGUUAGAAGAGCUCUAGAAAGAUAUUGCAAUGCAAACUUAAUACAGCAUGCAUUUUAUGAAGGCGACACCAGAUGAGGACCUUGUAGCGUUGAUUAGUGAAGAUGGCUUCACAAUGCAAACUCAAUAAUGGGGCGAAAGAGUUUCCUUGAUGGGGUCUUUUUAAAAAUUUCAUUAUUUAUUUUUUAGACUGGAGUUUGUUCAUCGUUAAGAUUAUAAAUCGUGGUUUAUCCUUGCUUGGAAAUAUAUAAGCAUGUCUCUCUUUGGGACAUGAACUAUCUUUUCUUAUACAUGGAGCAUGAUGGUUGUUAUCUCAAUGUAGAUUUAUAUAUUUUCUUAUCCAUGCAGCCUGUCUUAAGCAUGAUGAAGAUGACUGAUGUAGUUCAAUCGGAGUAGCAACUGCAAAAUAAUCAAUUUUUACAUAGCUAGAAAAAAGGAAGUGCACACCAGAAGCUAAAUUUUCAAAACUUCACUUUUGUGGGAUCUCACAAUUUUUUUUUUUUACGCUGCAACUGUAUUAUAAGACAUGAAGGUAGACAAGAAAUCACAUUUUGCCAUUGCAUAUUUAUGAUUAUUAAAAUAGUACGGGCAUUCAUUUGACAUAUGAAUAACUUUGGAAAUAAUAGAAAAUCCAAAGAAGUGAUAAAACUCAAAACUGCACUUACGGUACCAUACCAUCAAACUGACUUUUUUUGUUUCUUGGAAGCAUCUUGACCUUUCAGUUUUAGGAUUCUGAUAGCAUCAUUAAAUUGUUUAUGCUUCUAGAGAAGCUUAAAGCUGUGUUGAAAUUCUUUAGUGAUCAAAUGUUGUAAUUGCUAUUGCGACCGAUUGUUUUAAGUUAUUGAUUAAAGAUAACUGAAUUUGCAUGCCAUUCUUCUGAAACAAAAUUUGUGACUGUAUUUCUUAAUAUAAAGACCUUUCUAGCAAGCAAGGUUGCCAUCUCAAAAGGUUAUUUGACUUUAUGUUCUUCAAUUUUGCAUCUCCAAAGUGAACACAUGAUGCCGUGCUAAGAAUAAUAGAUAUUCAAGCUGGCUUUCUGUGAAAUUUAAUGUAUUUUACAUAGGUCGGGUGGAAGAUAUGAGAUAGCUAUUUAUGUUCGCCAUGAGAUUAAUUAGUUAAGUGAGCAAUGUGUCCCUUUUUAGGUACCUCAACUUCUUUGUGCUCUAUGGUUACUGAAGAAGUUUGUUCCUAUGAAAAGAUUAUUAGAGUAAAAGCUCCAAAAAUUUAUUUUCAUGAACGAAAAUUAAAUUAUUGAUGUGAAGUUGUACCAGACAGGCCUUAUAAAUGCUGGGUACAGUGUCCGUCAUUUAUGCUUGCCUUUUCUUAGUAAGUCACCAGAGAUAUGAGCUGACAACUUGGCAUUUCUGAUGCAAGUUGAUGAGCUAAGUGCAAAUUUAUAUGGCAUGGUGAAAUUGUACUUGGUCCAGUCAAACCCCAGUAACAAAAUAUCGACUUGACCGUUGUACCAUGUAAUGACAUUUGAAAGCUGGGUACAUUCUGUUGUAUGGUUUGACAAUUGAAAUUGAAAUUUGUUUUAACAGUUUAUGCAUUCAAGUUUUUUGCCCGUGGUGUGAGAAAUGCUUCAGCAAGAAUUUGCUAUGAUAAAGUAUAAAUAAUCUCCACAGGUUAGGUUUUGAAAUUUAUCAUGAAUUCCGAACCUUUUACAUAGGAGUGGUAUUUGGCCCUUUGCUCCAGUCAGUAGUUCAGAAAAUGAUUUUUACUCCAGGUUUCACUAGUAUUUUUACUUGUAAAGUUAGUAACAAAGGUGGAAAAAAUAUAAAGCCAUGCUUGUUUUUUCGAGUUCUAAGUAUGACAUGGCGCAUUCAAUAUUGUAUUUUGUUCCAUAUUAGAUUGGAACAAAGCCUAAAAUGAUCUAAUAUUCGUUAUGAAUUGACUAUGGUUGGUUUACCAAUGAUGAUAGUGAGUGUUCAAAAAAAAUUAAAACAAAAAGGGGCUUUUGAUGAUGCAAUAGAGCAUGCUUGUUCAUAUUGUAGUCAACCAGUUUUUGCAUAACUUUUCAUGGUUACUUUUGAAAAAUUUUGCAUGAAGUACUGGUCUCAUAUACACUUCUGAUCUCUUGACUGAUUCCAGUUCUUCAGUGUAACUUAAAAAUUAAAAUAUCAAUUCAAAUCUCUUGAAAUUUCUUGCAGUAAUGAUCUAUUAAAUAAAAUGCUGUUAUUAGAGAUGGUAAGUUUUGGUUCACCAGUAUUGUUUGUUAAUGUGCUAAAUUUUCAUGGUGUAAGGUUGAUUGCCAUCAUGUGGGUGAUUUAUCUUGCGAUGCAAAAGCAUGUAGCUAAAUGUAACCCUCUUUAUCAUGUGAUAUCUUUUUCAUUGGGGGCAGAGAAUUUAAAACAUUGAUUUCAUCUAUUUUUGGGCGCUGGUGAAUCUGGUAAGGGCGCUAGUUAACUUAUCCUCGUUUGUUUACUUAUUCUAACAACAAAACAUUAGCAAUUUAGUAUGCAGUUUAAAUGGAAUGGUUAAUAUCUCAAGUUGCUAGUAGAAUAUGCCUAGAAAAUUUGUUAAUUUUUAAAAUGGGCAUGGCUGAGUUGAGAAUGCUGGUUUGGUUACAUGGAGAAGUGGGUAAGACAGACAUAGACAAGACAGCAGUAAUGGAAGAUGGCUGAUGUUUGCUCUGGAAACUGAAAAAGGAAAAAGAGAAAGUCCUGGGAUGUAAGCUUAUGAAUUGCAUUAGCAGAGGUGGAAUUGAUGGAGAAUUAACUGGUAUAAUAUUGUCUUCUGCCCUGGAGACGAGAAGAGACGCACUUGUUGUAGAAGAUUAGGUAUACCUGGAAGUAUGUGAAAAGAUAAUAUUGUCAUAAUGAAAGCUGGCUGGAGGUUCUAAAGAUCGGUUUUCUUUGAAUGAAAAUUUGCUCUUAAGGUCAUGAAUGACAAAGAAGCAUUUAUAACUAUGGUAGAGAUAAAAUGUGAGGUAGCUGCCAUGAUUUGCUCAAAAAAGAUAAUGGUAGAGAUGAUAAAUCAUAGCGACUAUUGGUUCUUGUUAGAUUUCACUGUGCUCAUGCUUGUAUGUUAAUAACUUUUUAGUGAAAAUAUCCGAGAUGUUUUUAUGAUACUUAGCGUAAGCUUGCUUAACAUAGUUAUGAUUUUUUAAGGAAAUUUAUAGUUAUGCUUUAUGACUAUGCUUUCAUUUGUAUCAUAAACACGUUGCUUGCAAUACUUUGGAGAACCAGAGAAGUUUACAUCUCAAGAUGCCAAUCAAACUUUAUAGUUUGAUUGAAAUUUGCUCGUAAAGGAUUUCUUGGUUGAUCUGCAGGCAGUUGCAGAAUGUAAGAGGACUAAACUGUGUUUCGAAAUAUUUUGUUCCACUGGUCAACUGUAUCGUAUAUGGUUCUUAAGAUGCCAUGCAGAUCAUCAUGUCAGCUCUAUUGUUAUUGUUGAUUGGAAUAUUUAAUCUCCUUUAUCUUAUAAUAUUUGAGAUAGUGACGACAUGUGGUGCUGGUCAAAAUCUAUAUGGUGUUUCAAUUAUUUAUAUUUUUGGGAGCUCCUGCAUGCAUAUUUAAUGUGGAGUUGCGCCCGCGCGCUCUCUCUCUCUCUCAUGCGCACUAUUAUUGUUAUCUUGAGCUGCAAAAUGCAUUGCAAUCAGUUGAUGCAAUUAAUUUAGAAUCUAACUGGCUUAGACACGCUAUUCAAUUUUUUGUGAAGGUAUGCAGACGGUACAAGCAAUACCACCAACAAGUGCAAAUGGUGGUCACUGCUUUUGAAUCUGUAGCAGGCCUCAGAUCUGCUACACCCUAUGCUUCAUUAGCCCUCAAGACUGUCUCAAAGCACUUCCGGUGCAUAAGAAAUGCUAUAUCCGAUCAGCUCCGACACAUAAGCAAAGUUCUGGGCGAGGAGCUCAUGUCAUCACCCAGUUCGAGUAGAGGUGAAAUGACGCCAAAGUUGAAACACAUCAAUCAGAGCGUCCUCGAGCAAAAGGCAGGUGAGAACAGCUUAGGUUUUGUGGGUCAGAAUCAGCCUGUGUGGAGGCCUCAGAGAGGCCUACCGGAGCGUGCUGUGGCUGUUUUGAGGGCCUGGUUGUUUGAUCAUUUCCUUCAUCCGUGAGUCACUCCACUGACUGUUAAUGUCUUCUUCAUUCAUUCCUUCUACUCUUCUUACGUCUAUUAUUACCUUGCUAUGUAACUAAUUUCAUUCUCUUGAUGAAAUCUGUGGGGGGGCUACUUUGCCCUCCCUUGUUUCAAAAAGAAAGAAAGAAAAAAAGAGAAAUGUUAAUAUCGCAUCGUUUUGUAAAUUUUUGAUUUUUCUGUUGCUUCCUUUGGUUCACCCAUAUGCUAUUACCAUAUACUAUUACUAUCAUCAAUGCUUGCAUGGUGUUUUGGGUGGGAAAGAGACAGCUCAUUGUAUGUUCGGUGUCUCCAGGUACCCGACGGAUACGGACAAGCACAUGUUAGCGACCCAAACUGGCCUGUCACGGAACCAGGUAACUCUCUCAGAGCCGAUCCUUCUCUCUUGUGAAUACUGUUAGGUGGGCGAGAUGAAUGAAUCCCAGCACUGAUGUCACCUGCAACCAGCUUCGGAGCUGGCUGAGUUGGAGGGUUGGUCUACUUGUAUUGCAGGUCUAGGUUUUAAUCCAAUGGGAAAGGUUGGAUGUUAUAAAUUUUUAGCCUGGAAUUUUGAAGGUCUGAUGAAGUUAGGGUGAGUUCGAUUCUGUUUCCCCGCCUACCUAGGUUUUACUGAAUUUGGUUUGAUCCAUUGAAUCAAUCUAGGUUUAUGGCAGGAAAUGGGACCCGGACUUCAUUCAUGGCAGGAAAUGUGCCACUUUUUUGGCCCGACUUAAUUUAUGACUGUAAACUGCUUGUCUGACCCAUGGCUGUUGUUAAGUUGGUUUGAUUCACAACACACGUGAGGAGCCAGGAUAUAGGAGUCAAACUCUGACCAGUGUCGACUCUGGCAGCUGCUGUUGGUCUGGUCAAAGUUUGACGCAUAAAAUCCAAUGCGGACAAAACCUGACACAUGAUAACCUUGCAUGUAUGGAGAAGGGGGGACUGGGACUCGGUGUACUGUUCAUGCUUUGCUACUUUGUGAUGGGGGCAGGACCUUAAUCAGAGUGUUGGGCUACGGACUCAUCAUCUGAAAGAGCAUGGAUCCUUUGUGGCCCUCACCAUGCAGCUCUCUUGUGGCCAAUACUAUCAGAGGCCUGCAUGGGAGAGACCAGACGCAUUUAAAUUUCAUCAGUGCUGAUGUAAUUUGCAUAUCGUAGUUCUUAGUUUCGUAGUUCUUAGUUUCGCAUCAUCGACAUGGUCUCUGCAGCACAAAUGAGCAACCAUGCAUUCACCCUUAUGGCUGCAAGGUGCAGGCUGGGGUGGCUUCACUCUGAUAAUGUGACAGAAUUCCUUCUCUGACACCUGCUUACAUUUCCCUUUCAUCUGGUGCUUCACCUUCGUGCAGGUUUCCAACUGGUUCAUUAAUGCUCGGGUACGGCUAUGGAAGCCAAUGGUUGAAGAGAUCCACAUGCUUGAAACCAAAGGAAUGAAAGGAGCGGACCUCAACUCUGGCAACAGAAACGAUGCUAACAAGCUGCCCAUGGAUGAUGCAGGGCGACCUUCUAACGAGCAAAGGCCAGAAUCCGGGUGUAGCAGGCCAUUGCAUUGUUCCUCUAUGGAGCCUCUUUUGAAUGAUGAGGGUUCCCGGAGUAUGGAGCAGUGGCAUUACGAGAAGCGAUCAAGGAUUGACGAGUGUGGGAUGCAGACGAGCAUGGAUGGGAACUUGAUAAGCUUCGGAACGUACCAGAGUGCUAUGGAUAUUGGAGGACUUGGAGCGGUGUCUCUCACGCUGGGCCUCAGGCAAGAGGGCGGACAGCAGCAGCAGCAGCAGCAGCAGCAGCAGAUGAGGCACUUUGGAAGUCAGAUGCUGCGUGACUUUGUGGGUUGAGUGAUCUUUGUUGGAAUUGUUCUGUUGCGAGUGCUAGAGAUGUGCUGGGGAGCAGCUAUUGGCAAUGUUAGUGGAGAUAUGAAGAUGUGAGCGCGUACAAAGACUAGUUUUCAGAAAAGGGGUGACAAUUGUAUUGUAGGAUGGGGGAAAGGUCCAUUGUAUGAUUUGUAAUGCUGCUAUUCGUUUGAAGUUUUGGUGGUUUACAAAUACUCUCUGAUUUAGUGCUGUUGUAAGAUUCUGUUGUCUUCUGUCCUCUCGCCCUUAAGCUUGCGGGUGCUUUCGUGCAUGAAACUAUAUUUGACACGGUUGUCCUAGAGAAUGGUAACUUUGGGGCGAUACAACCGUAUGGUUGGAUUGUAAUCAGCUGCGUACGUAUGUUGAAGCUGAUAAUCCUCCAGAGCUCCGCUCAACUUGUCUUUCCAUGCUUAAGCCCGUCUUCGAACAUAGAAAGGGGUUUUUAAAAAAAAUAAUUGAUGUGUUUUGUCCUGUUAAUAUGGUUACUCUAAUCCAAUGUGCCAUGUUUCCUUGUGGAAAGUCUGCAGGGAAAAAUUUAACUCAAAUUAACAGCCUACGAUUCAUGCGGACCUUGUAUCACAAUCCUUAGGGAUCAUCUGCGCUGUUGUCGCCAGACCCUGCCAUUUUGCCAUUCAGACCGAGCCGGCCUCCCUUCAGUCCCAUGUAGUUCUGGUCAACAUUAAAUAAGCAGGGGGCAGGGGCCCCGGUUUGUUUUUUUAAAGUUCAUCGCAGGCUUUGGGAAACCUGGCUUCACGCCGGGCUUGGGCUAAGAUGGGCCUGGGGCGGUCCGUUUCUUGGGUUGUGUUCCAGUGAAUAUCUUUUGAGGCUGGCUUUAGGCUCAGCUCAGGAGUCAGGCCUGGGUUUAUGCUCGCUUCAUCACACCAGGCCUCGGCUAAGAUGACUUGACCUGGGCUUGCUCCAUCUAGCAGAUCAAUUCACAAACAGGGUUAAUUAAUUAUCUCUGAAAUCUGAAUGGAGGGUCAGAGAAAAGGGAAUUCCAUUAUGAGAGCGAACCCAGUUCUUGCAAUAAAAUUUUUUCGGUGGAUGCAUUUGUUCUUGCUCUGCUUGGUACUCAAGACAGCCGAAAGCCAUUGGCAACAGGCAAGCAGAGAGUGGAAGCCAGAGUUUGGUAACUACAGUACUCCAAGUCUCCAUCGCUGUUUUUCUCUCUUCAAAAGUACAUUCCUCAGGCUGCUUGAGCACUUCCACACAGAGCAAUCAGAUUUCAAUUAUCCCACAAUAACAGCAAUCCUGUUACAAUCCACAAGUAUUUCAUAAACCAUCAAUUGCACCAGUGUAUUGUGGGGAAAAAAUUCAGUUAAAUCAGUUUUAACAAAUCACUACAAUUUUGCAAGCCUUUCUAUCGUGAGAAAUAAAUUCUUUCCAACCAAGAAAGUUCAAGUUUAUGAACCAUAGAAGCCAAAGAGACAAACAUUAACAAGCUAAAGAGACAAAGACAAACAUGUCUAGCUUAUAAAUUCUAACAAUCUUCAGCAGCAGAACUAGAACAAAUUCAGCAGGCAACUAGACCGCAGCGACAGCCCUACUGUAACCGACACCCAUAUUGGAUUCUGCCGCUGGGGCGCUGCCUUCGUUCUCGCUGGAAAUCUCCUCCAAAGACUUCCCCUUGGACUCGGGCACCAGGAAGGUUAAGAAAAGCCCCAGGAGGUUGCAGGCUGCAAGCACGAAGAGGGAGUUCCUGACACCAAUGCCAGUAGAGUACCCAUGGUCGGUUUUGGCUGGGUCUGAGCUCUGGGAUAAGUAUAGAAAGCCGAACGAGCCCACGAUCGCACCAAGUUUUCUUCCAGAGCGUUCAUGGAGGCGGCCUUGGGGAUCCAUCCGAUGGCGCUAAAUAUGUCUUUUUGGAAGAGGUUCUGGCUGUAGAAGGCAAUGUCGAGGAGGAACCAGGUGGAGGAGGUGCCGAGAAGGUGGAGGCCAUGGCGAGGCAAGAAUUCUUUGGAGAAGAGGCCGAAGCUGUUGGCUUGCUGGCCGGUCAUCUGAUCGACCUUGGGCUGCUCCUCCUGAAGCUGGACUUGAAGUACCCUGGACAUGUCGGCGGCCGCCUUCUUGGCGUUCCUGACGACGAGGGCAGUGUAGCGGGCGGUCUCCGGCAUCUUCAUCCGCCAGUAGUAGGUGAGCGCCGCCGGGAUGGCGCCGAACAUGAGAACUAUGCGCCAGACGAAAUCGGCCUGGGGGACGGUGGAGGCUACGGGGUCGACGGCGUAGGAGGGGGCAGGGAAGCAGUGCUUGAAGGCGGCAGAGACGAUGAUGGCGACCGUGCCACCGGCGAGGAUGCCGAUACCCUGCAUGGCAAAGACGGCGGCGAUGAAUGCCCCGCGGGUCUUCUUGCUGGCGUACUCGGACAUGAUGGUGGCGGAGAGGGGGUAGUCGCCGCCGAUGCCGAAGCCGAGCCAGAAGCGGAAGAAGCAGAGGGUGGCCAUGACAGACUUGGGGGUGUGGCCGAAGGAGAGCCCGGAGGCGAUGGAGGUGAGGACCAUGAGCAUAAGCGUCAUGCCGUAGACCCGCUUGCGUCCCAUCUUGUCGCCGAGCCAGCCGAAGAAGAGCUGGCCGGAGAGGGUGCCGCAGAAGGCGACGCCGUGACGGCGGCGGAUACGUUGGGGGGGAGGGAUCCGGGUGUCGGGGAGCCUUCGACGUGGUAGUGGAUGCGACCGAGGAGCUAGGUGACGAGGGAGAUGCAGAAGAGGUCGUAAGCGUCGGUGAAGAAUCCCAUGCCGGCGACCACGAUGGCCGUGAAGUGGUACCAUUGCGUCUUCGCCGCGUCCAAAGCGUCCAGCACCUGGAGCUGCUCCCUCGCCAUGGUGACCGAUCGGCUCGUCUCUUAUCGAUAAAGAAUGCGGUUACAGAGAGAGUAAGAGCGAGAGUUCGUGUGUUUGAGAGAGAAGAGGGAACGAGAAGGAGAUCGAGGCAAAUGAGACAAGGGCAUCGGUGAGGUUUUAAAUAAACACGCAGGAGGAGGGUGGGUGCCAGCGGAAUAUUCUCAACUCCUUCCCCGUACCCAUUCACCCCCUCCCGGCAAGACCUCGCCCACGUCAGAGCGCUCACGGCGGAGGGCAGGGAAUUCCGUUUUUUGGUACAAUCUUUCCAUGUCGAGCUCGCAUCAUAGUAGCUUUCCAUAUUUUGCCAUGGUAAUAUUCCCCUAUAUAUUCCUUGUUGGAGAACUUCUUUCUAAAAUUCGCAUGACACAGUAUCAAGGAGGAGGAUUAAGUGACGCGGCGGAGGAAGGUGCGAGCCAUCCCAAUAUUCUCUUCUCUUGCAUUUAUUAAAUAGCUUUCCUCUUCAUUGCACACAACAAUAACCAGCCGUCAUCAUUCUAAUAUCUAUAUAGUAAUAUAAUUAUUAAAAUUCAAGGCAUUGCCUGAUAAUAUUAUAGUACUAGCAUUCUCAUAUGCCUGCAAAUUACUCGAUAUUUCAUUUUUUUUUGGAAGAUAUUUUAUAUCUCAUUGAUUUUUGUUUUAAAAUAACUUGCAACUGGUGACGGUUGACGGCCAUUUUAAAACAUAGUUUUAUAUACCAUAAAGAUCCAUGCAAGCACAGGCACCCGAACAAAGGAAGAGUAGAGAGGAGAGAAUCCAUCUUCCGCGUGAAAGUUGUAACCCUCUCCCAAGCGAGAGGAGGUCGGUUCCACAGUUCCACUCGAAUAUUAUUUUUUUUAUCGAAUCGGUUCAAAUUUGGAUAUUAAGGCUCGACCAAUCCAAAAUUGGAUUUUGAGCCUGAGUAUUUUGAAUUAAGUUGAACUUGGGCCUCUAGCUAUUUAACUUGGCUCGAUCGCAUCCCUGCCAGUGGCUCCCCGCAUUUCUGUAUCAUACAUCAUUUGUACACAUUUAAUUCAUUAAUAUGUUAAUUCACCUCCCCCUUUUGCGCUAAAGAAAAGCCCCCAGCAUAAUGACACGGGCCUCAAAUCGCAAACUCGAAUAUUCCUUUGCACGGCUGCUUACAUGGCAAGAAGGCCUUGCUGCAGUUGCAUGCAAUUUAAAGGAUUGGCUAACGAAGGACCAACCUUCCUGUACCACAAAGCAUAGGCAGCAGCAAAUAAAACAAAAAAAACAAAAAAAAAAAAGGUGACAUGGUUUGUUGACUAGUCAUAUAGCUAUAUUAGAGGUGUCCCAAACGCAGCUAUACAUCACGGGGGAAUUUGAUGUCUCUUAUUCAUCGGCCAACUCGAAAUGGUUAAACUAAAGGCGAACUAACGAGUUGGACAAAUCUAUUCUCUCCCUCUUCUGUAGAUCUCUGUUUCUAGCAGCCAGACGUUUUAUUUUGUCUGGCGGCUCACAGCCAGAUUGUAUUACUUGGGACCAACCUAACUAAAACCUGCAACUAACGAUGCUAAAAAUUUCUACCCGGAACUGGACUGCCCACCCAAACCCACACUGAAAUCACAGCCAGAUUGUAUUACUUGGGACCAACCUAACUAAAACCUGCAACCAACGAUGCUAAAAAUUUCUACGCGGAACUGGACUGCCCACCCAAACCCACACUGAAAUACCAAAUUACCAGGAACAUCAACCUAUAAUACAAAGUCUGCAACUCCAUGCUGAUAAGGAAUUGGGAACAAAGGCAGGCUGAUGACGAGAUCAAAUCUAAUCGCUGGAGCAAAUGAAAGCGAACAGCCUGUUCUACGUUGGAACCAAAUUUCUGGUGGCAGAAGCAUAUUUUAAAUCCUAUUAGUUUUUCACAGCCCAAUUUUGACAAUACUUGACAUCAUAAGCGAUAGACAUAGCUACAUAAUCUUGCACCGCUCACUUCCUUCACCAUUCCAACGUGUGCGCCGCAGCUGGAUUCUGUUCAUCCACCAUACUGUCACUUUUCUGAAUGCCAGUACCCAAGAUGCAGCAUGCCGGCAGGUGCAAAUGAAGGCUGAACUCAGGAUGGCACUCAUUUGCUGUGUAUGAGAGUGAAACACAGCAUGCCAAGGUGGCAGCUUGGCACAACCGUUACCCUAUGAUGCCACUGAUAAUACGCAAUGAACAGCUGACCCAUGCAAAAGACAACGCCAAGAAGUAAUGUGAGAAGAUAGUCGUCCCCUGGGUUGCCCUCACAAGUCCUAAUUUACUGAAGUCUACAAAGCAAUAUCAGUUAUUACAUUAUCCAAGACUAUAUAUUAGUCCUAAUUUCUUCAACAGACUUGGUAUUCCGAAGGAUGGGAGAAUUUCCCAGGAUGACACAUGGCUCUUUAAAGUGAAACUGAUGAGACAAUUAACACAAGCUAAUCCCAUAACUAAUGUACAUAGAGAUCAAGGCGUGUUGCAUGCCAGCUAUCCUGUUCCAGGAACAAAAUUCAGCAACGCUGGCGGAAUGUCAGGCUCAGACUUCCUUGAAAGAGCCCUGGGUCAGCUCUUGAUAGCAGAUUGCAGUGCAUCCACCAUGAUCGCCCAUUCUCAAGCCUUUGCCCCAAGAAAAGACUGCUCACAGAAAGGUCAGAAUUAAUAAGAGGAAAUUAGAGUGAAUUAUCUAUUUGGUUAUGGAGCUUCUUCAGAAUAUACAAUCCAACAGGCAAAGAUGUUAAAUGAAAGAUCAAGUGGAUGCACGAGUGCAGGACACAAUGGGGCAGUGCAUUCUAAAAUCAUGAUAUUGAUUGUAAUAUGGUGGGUAUUUAUAUACUUUGUUACAAGGUUCACAAUCUUAGUAUCGGACCUGUACCAGUACUCUAUUGGUAUAGUAUCGAUAUUGCCGGAAAUGGGGUUGAUUAGGCAUGUACCAACACUCGGUAUUAUCCCCCAUACUGCGCAUCAGUUGGUACUAGUAUGGUAGGUACACCUGGUAUAGAGGGUAGUACGUACUGGUACAAUGGACCUUUCUAUGUAAUUCUGUUAAAUUAUUUGGCAGAGCAAAUUAAGCUUUUAUGAUGUUGGAUGUUACAAGAAUGUAAAAUGACUGCAUCACAUAUUCUGAACUCAUAUUUUUUGACUUCCUCCCUUUCCAGCCUUUUCUAACAUCCUAUUUUUAACAGCCAGACGUAAGAAAAAUGUCAAAUACAAACUUUGAAAAUGAUGGCAUGAAAGAAAACACAAAAAAGUAAUCAUUCUGGGAAUAGACACCUACAAACACAGCCUNNNNNNNNNNNNNNNNNNNNNNNNNNNNNNNNNNNNNNNNNNNNNNNNNNNNNNNNNNNNNNNNNNNNNNNNNNNNNNNNNNNNNNNNNNNNNNNNNNNNNNNNNNNNNNNNNNNNNNNNNNNNNNNNNNNNNNNNNNNNNNNNNNNNNNNNNNNNNNNNNNNNNNNNNNNNNNNNNNNNNAAAAUUUUCAAAUCUAAUUAUCAUAAUUGAAUAGCCAUAUAAAAUUUCAAUCAUUGAGAGGAAAAAGUUAUGGGUUUUGAGUGGUUCCCAGCUUAGGUAAAAGGAACUGACCUUCCUGAGGAUAAUGCAGAUCACCAUAUCUUUCAGAUAAAAUAAGGUAAACACAUGAUGCCAAAACACUUCCAAGGGAUGGUGCAAAUCCUCUUAUUUGAUGUCGAUAAGUUGGCACAUCUUUUGGACAGCCCAACAAGAAAAUAAAAAUCCCCCACAAGUUAAUUAGUUGGUGUUCUAGAAGUCCCUUAUUAUGCAUUCAAGUGCAAAAAUUAUGCGGUAUAUUGAUAGAUCCCACCUUAUAUAAGUAGAUACCAAACAGAAUCCACUAACCCAGUGUUCUAUAGAGAUAGUUGAUGGACCUGCAACGGAUUGCCGGUAGAUACUUCGGCAAGUUUCCCAUGCAAUUCAGAUAAUCAGAGCUUAGAGAUCCUCAUCAGGUGCUUUUCCUACCAGUAAACGUUAGCCAGAUCAGAUUCUAUCAGCAGUACUUGAUAGGGCCAUUGUGAAAGAAAUGGUGUCUCGUUUGUCAUAAUUCAGAUAAUCAGAGCUUAGAGAUCCUCAUCUGCAUCAGGUGCUUUUCCUACCAGUAGACCUUAGCCAGAUCAGAUUUUAUCAUUAGUGAUUUUAUCAGCAGUACUUGAUAGGGCCAUUGUGAAAAAAAAAGGUGUCUCCUUUGUCAUAAUUAACUAUAUCUAUAGCCAAAAUUUAAAAUACUCAUUUAAAUCUUUUCUACUUCCACAUCUGGUAUCCCAAACCUCAAGAUUCAUGUUUUAUAAGUUAUUUUUUGAUCAUUGCAGACAAGGUUUUAAAUCCCCUAAGAUGGGGGUGUCCCAGUUUCUCCAUUGAACAUGACAUCCUACUGUCCCACCCUGUCCUGGCAGUGGUCCCGGCCAUGAAUCUCAAUAGAACACCUCAGUCUCUCUCUCCUUUCUUUUCCUUCUUUCCUUUCUUUCUUUUUUUCUACCUUCCUUUCUUUCCUUUCCUUUCCUUUUUCUUAUCAUUUCCUUUAUUUCUUUUUUCCUUUUUCUUCUUUCUCUUUCCUUUCUUCCUUCUUUCCUUUUUCUUCUUUUCCUUCCUUUCACUUUUUCUUUUUCUUCAUCUUUCCUUCUUUUCUUUCUUUUCUCUUCUUCUUUGGGUUUCGGAGUCCCGACCCUAUCCUAGUCCCAUUUUCUCAAAGGAAUGGGACGAGACAGCCUGAAUGCACCCCGUCCCGCCGGGAUUUAAAACCAGCGGGACCUAAAACCUUAAUUACAGAUGCAUGGCAUGAAGACACUGAAUUGAGUUCAUGACAUAAAGAUAAUGGCUGACAACUGGUUGCAGGACAAAAACAAGUCAGACUAGGGAGAGGGGAAAAAAAUACAGAAAGUGUUCAGGUAUUUCAUGAAAAGUUGCACUAACCUUGACUCCAGGUGGAGGUGUUCCAGUUUUCGCUGUAGUUGUGCUUCCAAAGUUGAACAUUGUCUUCUUCUCCGCAGGCUUUAAUAUUUGGAAAGAACACAUCAGAGUAUCAUCUACAUUCAUCAUGGCACCCGCAUUGUCAAAUUCCCCACAGUAGUUUGGUGCCGAGAAUAUUGUCACAAGUUGCCUGUUAGCAAAGAAUUCAUAUCCAUCUUCCACCACCUGGUACAAGAAGUAUUUUGAAUUAAAAGAGUGAACUUACUUCAGCACCAGCAAAAUAAACAAAAGAAAUAAGCAUUUAUAACCUGAUGAGCACGACAAAUGAGGUCGAGAUCAUGUUUUUGAAGGAACUCAGUCACCUUAUCAGGGCCAAAUGUGUAUGAAACCCCUCUGUCAUUCAUACCCCACCCCUGAAUGUCCUUACUUGGAUCUGACCAAAGAAGAUCACAAAGCAAACCAGUGUCCGGCACAUCAGUAGGGCGAGCCAGGUUUCUUAUUUGAUCCAAAUUAGUCAAGUCUGGAGAAAGACCCCCGUGCAUACAAAGAAUUUUUUCAUCAAUGAGAGCUGCGACAGGCAGACAGUUAAAACAAUCUGUGAAGACUUUCCACAGCCUCACAUUGAAUCUGCGCUUACAUUCAUCAUAAAACCCAUAUAUGCGGUUUAUAGACGCACAUUCAUGAUUCCCCCUCAAGAGGAAAAAGUUCUCAGGGUAUUUAAUUUUAUAUGCCAAAAGGAGGCAUAUUGUCUCAAGACUUUGCUUUCCUCGAUCCACAUAAUCCCCUAAGAACAGGUAGUUGGCUUCAGGUGGAAAUCCGCCAUAUUCAAAAAGCCUUAGGAGAUCAGAAUACUGGCCAUGAAUAUCACCUGAGACCCCAAAGAAACCAUUAUGCCAAAUUUCCCAAACCCAAUUAAUGACUAGACCAAACUAUUUGCAAGCAAUGAGUAUUCCUGAAAUUUUCUCUCUGGAGUUCUCCACAACUGAUUAAGUUAAAACAGAAUGUCAACUUACCAUGAACAAGAACAACUGCAAUCAUAAAGUGAAAUUUGAUAAAAUUCCCAAGGCGGAAUAUGUGAAUAUGUGCAUUUUAUAGAUGCAAAUUAAAAAUAUCCUACAACAAUAGCUCAGCACAUAAAAAAAGAAGCUAAUGAGAAUGCUAAAGGAUCUUAAGUAAAGCAAAGCGCAUGAGAUCAUACCUCCCAACGGUAACUUGUUUGCUAGCUAAAAAUAAUCAAGGUGAUGAAUAAUAAAGUUCAAGAUGAGGUACAUCAGAGGGAGUCUAGCAUUAGGACCAAUUAAUGGGAAAGUCAUAAAAAAACAAGUGAGAUGGUUAGGUCAUAUGAUUCAAAUCAAACAAGGGUCGGAUUGAAUUGAAUCAUAAUCGAACUGCCAUUUAUGAUCGCUGGAAACUCCAUUUAAAAGUAUAGAAUGCAACUUUUCUUAAACAAUAAAACUAAGAACUGAUUAUAUAAUACGAUAUCUUAGCCUACCAAAUGAAAUUCUACUGGAGAUGUAACAUAUAUUAACAUGUUAAUUAGUAACACGUUAAAAAAUGCAUGUAAGAAUACCAAUACCAAAAUAAUACUUUUGACCAGCAACGUAGUACUUAAUACAACUAAACACUAAAUUCAAACAUAGAACUAAUUUCAUAAUACCAACAAUCUAUCAACCAAAGACUGUUUUAUAUUACAACUAAAUUGAAUACAAUUUUAUGAAAACAACCAGAUGAGAAUUAGCAAUACACAAAUUAUUUCAUUUCAUCUGGUAAUCAGUAAGAAUCUAAAUGCAUAUAAUAACAUUUUGCCAACAAUCCUUAUGAAUAAGGGUUAUUCCAAUUUUGCCUAGAAGUCAGAAUUAAGAAAAUAGGUAGAAGAAGACCUAGGCUGAGGUAGACUAUAAAUUUGAGGGCGUAUAUAGGUUACAGGUAAUGGCUUAUCCAUCAGUACGAUUCACAUAGUUAACCCCUUAUGGUCAUAAAACACUAGUUAAUAGUGCCAUAUUUAUGAUCUAACCCAAUAAGUACAAUUUAUGGAUGUUCGUUUCUGUUUAAAUUAUUUAAUGUGUCUAAUCAUUGUCCUGUAUGCCUAAUAUUUAAGAAUACGGCCUUAAUGUUCAGUAACUCAGGCUGAGUGCCAAAAUGCAUCACAAGCCAUCCAAGUUGAUGUUCCACAUUGCUUCAAGCAGAAACAAGUGUGGAAGUGAAAACUGGUCAAGAGCAGAUUCAGGUGUAGGUGCAUGGAAGAGAAUUCCUAAAAAAUGUUAGAAAAUGGAUCACUUAAGAAGCACGUGCAGGAGCAAGUUUCUUAGGAGAUUCCAAAGAUGGUACAGCAUCCUAGUUUAGAAACUUUCCUUCACAUACCACACAACUUAUCACAAUCUACACAUGCUAAAAAGAAAAUGUAAACCAAAAUCUCAAUGGUUCUGACAGAUUCAUGAUAUAGAUCAAUGCAAGCCUCUUUCUCCAUUAUUUGAAAAGCCAUUCAUUUAGUGGUCACUUGAUACAGAAACAACUAAGUUGAUCAAUAGGCAAUAAGUCUCCAAGACAUCUGAAAAAUUGUUAGACACUCCGAACAUCCUGGUUAACCUCACCACAUAAUUUGAUGAUACGACAAAACUAAGAUGAUAACGCCCAAUUAAUACUAAAUCUGUUGCAAAUCAGGGUAUGUUACAUGUUGAUCCUUAACAGGCACGAACGGGCAAGUAAGGAAUACAUUAUAAAAGAUAAUAUCUAUGACACAAAAUAGGGAAAAAGUCAACAUGGUUGCUAUCACAUGAAAUUUCCUAAAAGUACAACACCACUGCUCAUUCAAAUAUAAAGUUAUGAAAUUCUUAGUUCUAUUGUGGAGCACAUGUAUAAUAUAAGGCAAAACAUGUGCAACUUUAUAUAAGCAUUUCAUAUGCAUGUCCAUAUAUUGAACUACAGCUAUUACAUAGUUCUCAUGCAAUCUCAAAGUUUUUUACCAUAGAUAUGCAUGAAUAUUGGUGCCUCCAAGGUGGCAGACUUGUAGGAUUAUAGGAUAAAAGUCAUUAAAUUGAUAGCAAAAACAUAUAGGUCAACACAAAUACCAAGCUUAUGACAAUACAUGGAUGAUCUAUUAACUCCAUUAUAUAUGUUAUGAGAAGCAUGUCCAGCUCAUAACAAAAUAAUGGUUAAGAUGAACACUUAAUCUAAAGAAGACAUGCAGGUGUUAUGAGCACGGUGCAAGAGUUGAGUUGUGGCUCUAGAAUUGGCAUGGCAACCUUGGUUGAAGAUUCCGGCUUUUAUGAAUUGGAACUAAGCAAAUAUCAUGAAAAUUGCAAGACUAAUGUUAUUUCUGUCUUCCAAUCCAUGCAACUAUCUAGCUGAACAUGCAGAAACCUGAUCCGUUUGCUUACAUUGAAAGAGUUAAAAUAAAAUGUAAGCUAGUUGAGUUAUACCGAGAAAAAUCUAUUAAAGUAUGCAUAAACAGAGAUAAAAACAAAACAAAACAAACAUAAAACCUUUUCAUCUCCUAGGCUAUCUCCACCCAUGUCAUUUUAGGCCUACCCCUCCUUGUGCAUUUCAUGCACUCCCUCACAAGCACUUCCUUCAUCCUUCCAUGCAUAUUACCAAACCAUGCAUUACCACACAUGAUACUACAGAUAAUACAGGAAAACCUAUUAGCAUAAGCCAUGUGAAAAGUCCAAAAACAUUGCUCUAUGGUCAUUAACGUCUGAGAUCACAGUUCCUAGCUGAGGAUUGUGAUAACUUUGCAAUGUUUUUUGUCCUCUCCUAAUAAGCUCUUCACUGAAAAUCAAAGUAACAUUCUUCCAUCACGAGUAAAUAAAUGUAAGUUGCAAUAACAUAGUUUCAUGCCUGCUAUUCUCUCUAAUAAAAGCAGACAAACAACAAAAGCUUGUAAAGUUAGCAUCAUUCAAAUCAAAAAUAGAUAAUGUAUCUUAACUAGAGAUCAAUAACAUUGAUUAAAAAUGUCUUUUCCAUGGGGAAUUUUCAGGUCAGGCAUUAAAAGAAAAUCAAGGAACUAAAAAGGGAACUUAAAAAUAUUUUUCAAUAUACCAAGAUCAUUUAUUUAUGUUUCACCAUUUGGGUUUUCUGACAUCUGACAACAAACAUAACUUCAAAAAGCACACCAUAGCUGUCUCGCUGUGUAUAAAGUCAAUACUAGAAAAAUAUUUCUCAUCUAUUGUCCUCGAAAACAAAAUGCUCUAGUUCCAUCUCCUCAUGAACCACAUAAGACUAAAUUUCAGGUUUUAUUAUAUAUAUUAGCUUUCCCAGUAUCACCAGAUACUUCACAGAACCAUUCAAGACACCUUCAUUUUAGGUCUACAAACUACAUGCAUAUGUUCCUCCAAGAAGAAUCUCUUUCUUGUUUACAAGUUUAGAUUUUUCACUUGAUUUGGCAGAAGAAGAUUCAUCUUUCUCUAGCUCUAAGACUACAUUCUUGAAAAUUUUGAGUCUACACAUUGUAUUUCUGCCCACAUACAAUGAAAGAAAAUUAUUAGUUACAAUAUUUUGCAGCAUACCAUAUAAUGAAACCUACGAUGCAUCAAUAUAGAAUAAAAAUUUAAUAUAUGCUUCAAUAUAGAAUAAAAAAUUAAUAUAUGAUUGACAUUAAAGAACCUACAUGGGUCUGAGAAUGCACAGAACUGACGAUAUGCUGGGUUACUAAAAUUGAACAGUAUUCCAAAUUUCUUUUAGUUACCUUUAUCUAUUACAUAACAAUGGAGAAACUGUUGCGUUUUGCAAGCAUCAGAGACAGACAACGACAAUAAAGACUUUGCAACCAGAGUUUCACUUUGCAGAAAGCUCUAACAAUAUUAGUAACCCAAGUAAAGGAUAAUCUGCAAGGGCCUGUUGGACAUUGGUGUUGUUUUCGUGAUUUUUUUUUCUCUACAAAAUAGUGGAAUGCCACGUGGGAAUUGAUAUUGAAGAUAGCAUUUGCACAAAACUUCCGCUAUUCCUUGAUUUUAAUUUCACUCUUUUGUUUGAGAUAGAUAAAUCCUUGCUACCAAAAUCUCUAUGGAUUUCACAAACAAUUCUGAUAACGAAAGGGUUUCGUCAUACAUGCUGUUCAGUCUAGUUCAUUUUUAUUCUUGGGUUUCUGAAAAGAAAACGAGAAAGCAAAAUGAAUACCAAACGGACCGUAAUAUUUUGCACUGGGAAUCCCAUAUCCUGUCUCCAACCACGCAUUCAAACAUUCAGAUAAUAGACAAAAGAAAAACAAGCAUCUCAUCACAACAUUCACUGGUUCAUCAAAGUCCCAACAUUUCCCCACCGACACCAAUAACCAAACAAAACCUAUUCCCAAGAAGCCAUUACGGAAGAAACCCAGAUCAAGAAAUAUCAAAAAUCAAUAACCCAGAAACAGAAAAAUAAGCAACUUUUUAGAUUGAAGAGCCCCAAUGUUUUCAACGCCCGUUGCCUUCAACAUCGCAGUGGAGCAAAUUUAUCUAAUCACGGCAUUCGCUGAUUCAUCCAGGUCCCAUCCUUCCCCACCGACAUCGACAACCAACCAAAAUCCAUAAUCGUGAAACAAUUUUGACACAAACCCCGUUCAAGAAUCAUCGAGAGGGAUUUAUAAGAUUUACCGCAAAUCUUGAUGGGGGCCUCAAGCUCAAGAAGAUUGGGCUGCUGCAAGAAGAUGUCCCUGGACACGACGCAGAGCUGCCGGAUCUCCGCCUCCGAGAGCUGCACCUGCUUCCCCGGCCGAAUCCCCCUCGCUUCCAGCAGCCGCCUUAUGAUAUCAUCCAGAAGACCAGGAUCCAUCCCCCCACACAACAGACCCCAGAUCGAACAAAACCCUAGAAAUCCAGAAGUAAAAGGAGGCCCCUUUUAUUUCUCUUUGCCAAGAUCACGAAUCGACCCAGGAAGAGGAAGGAGGCAGAAGGUGGCCCCUUUCCUCCGCCGCCGUUCCCUUCCUUUCCCUCGCUCCGAUUGAGAUCUCCUCAAGCAUUCCUCUCGAUCUCCCUCGUUUCCUCUCUCGAUCGCAGGGGCUUCUCCUGCUCUCAGAGAGGAAAUGGAGAUCGCCCCCGCCGUCCCCGCUUCCUGCGAAGAAUACCGGAGAGCGAGAGAAUAUUUACGACUUUUUUAUUUUGGUCGCGACUCGCGAGGGAUGGAGACUGAAGAAAGAUCGAGUCCGCCGUUCGGUGUAAACAAUAGCUCCAACCGGGGGGUCCCAUACGCACAUGUGUCCUUAAAAAUCGCGUUGGGCCUGUUGGCCUUAAACACGGAACUCAAAGUCCUACGAGGAUUGCGCUCGUUACAUUAGAUGACGGGAGUUCAAGUUACUCGGACAGCAUGGAGGGGAUGCGGCUGACCAGAGAAGGAUCCGGAGCGGAGAUAGGUGAGGUGAUUGGACGGCAGUGAUUCUGUUGAUUCAGAUUUUUCUUUUUUGAAUUUAAUAGUGGUUUGGUGUGCCAGCGGGAUGGGGAAGUCUAUCGUGGCCGUCAGAUCUGCCGACUAAAUUGAUCGGACGGUGAAGUGCCCGGAGUUGCGGGGCGAGUGCAUCGGCUCGAACGCUGAUAAAUAUUCGGGAUAUGGUGUAGCGAGGGACGGAGUGGACCAUGCGGAUAAUAGCAUAAUAGCUAAUCAUGAAAUGACACGUGGACAACAAGCGGGACAUAUUGUGCACCGCUCGGCCAUCCGCCUACCUCUGCGGAGCGGGCAUGUACAGUGUCCGUGACAGUGGCACGUGUAACUUUCACACGAGUGAAUGUGGAUUAAUAUUCUGGCUGAGCAGUGAGGGACCGAGUGGACCAUGUGGAAAAUAGGAUGAUAGCUAAUCAUGAAAUGACACGUGAACAAUAAAAUCAACAUACUGUGCACCGCUCGGCUACCCGCCUACCUCUUCGGAGCGUGCAUGUACAACGUCCGUGACUUUUGGCACGUGUAACUUUCACACGAGUGAAUCGGUUCUCCCUAAUUGGUUGGCAAACGGAAUUGUAUUUGAGUUUGAAAAGUGAGUAUUUCAGUAUUACUAUUUUGCAUAAAAUCAAUGCAUAAAGAGCAUAGUUUUUAAUGUUUGAUUGUCAUGUGUUCAUUCUAUCUAAUGUUUUUUUUUUCUGCAUUAAGAACUAGAUUUUUGUGUGUCGAAAUCACUUAGAACGAGAAUAAAAACGUGAAGGAUGGUUUGGGCACAUAAAAUAUAAUUGCAUGAUCAUACCCUCUAGAGUAAUGUUGAAAAUUGGAUUGAUGAGUAAUACUUGCGUAUGCCAUGAAAAAUUUAGACUUUUUUCAUAUUGGGCUUUUCAUCUUGAUUGAAUUACAGGUUAAUAUAUUGAUUUGUAUCAAUAUCAAGCAUUCACCGAUACCAUAUGUAUAUCCUUAUUGCUAUUAGUUAUGUCAAAUAUUAAUGAAUAUAAUACUUUUUAUUGUAUAUUUGGAUGAUUGUGCUGAAAAUUCUAUUAGACUCGUAGAUUGGGCCAGAACAAUCAGUAUUAUCAUAGGACUAUAAGCUAGGUUAGACCUGCUAAGGUCUUUUUAUGCAUACCCCAAGCACAGUACAACUAUUUAUGCGUGCAUAUGUAGGCAUGCUCACAGACACAUGCACAACAUGUCCAAUUGAUAUUAUUUAUAUUUCUCAUGCCAACUUAAACUAUACAUCGGGCUGCAAGAAUUGUUGCAACUGCAGGUUAAAUUUCAAGCCCAACUCCACGAGAGCAGCUAAAAUAACAAUUGUUCAACAUCUGAGACCUAUCCACCUUUUUUUUCUUUCUUUCGAUAAACAUAUUGAUGUGCUUCUCUUGAAAUGUACUCCAAAUUCAAACUCAGGAAAUUGUACAUGUUCUUGACAUUUAAUCCUUAUCCUAUAAUAGUGAUCAUAUCUGUGCCUCAUCUGGAUCCAGUCGCCCACUAAUACUACUAACCCAAAAAGCAUGUGAAUAACCCCUGCCAUCCUUUGCAUGGCUUAUUACCCCAAACUGGACAGGGGUUGUAUCUUUCGUACAGAAGGACUCAUGUUUUUCAUGCGAAUCCACUACUGGAUCCCACGAUAGUUGCUUCAAGAUCGGUGCAGGUGGAUAAAUGGAAAGUUUGGAGUGAUUUAAGAUUUGUGUAGAGCAUGAUCCAAUGGUCAAUACUGUAAAAAAGAAUCAAUCACUUUUUUGCAUGAACGGUACAGCUGAGACCCUCCAUACCCCCACCUCUAACAAACAUAGUGAAGCCUUUUUUGUCUUUCAUUGUAUCUGCUUCAAGUUAGUCGUUCUCUUAGGAGUCAUAGCUCUCCCCGAAACCUCCAAUGCUGGCUCCAAACCUUCGAUGAUACAAACUUGACAAGUACAUCUCGAUGCCUUGGCUUAAGUCACAUAAGAAGCUACCGUGACAUAUGAAUAAGUUGUUUCGCCCCGAACCUAUCAUCUAGUUGACACGUGAAAUGGCAAAGAAAAUAAGGGAUCCAGCAGUUGUAGCUUGUUUCAAAUUAUUUGGAUGAGAUUCUAGAUUGUUACACAAGUCAUCAUCAGCUUGGCACCGUAAACCAUCACACAAGCCAUGAAUAGAGGAGUAGUUAUUGGUUGGCCCAGGUCCACUGGUCAGCUAGUGGACCGGUCCAACCGUGAAGUGGACAAGUCCAACUGCGAAGUAACAUAUAGAAACAUGGACCAAAAGGAAAGCCUGUAUGCAUUUAAUACAGAUUUAUAGCAGUCUACUCCACCUCAAGUGAGAUAGUAGUAGAACAGGUUGAUGUUGAAAGUCCGCCAGCCACAAAUCUAUAAAACACAAGAAGAAAUAUGCGUAUGGUAAGGUAGUUCACAGAGCCUUGCUAGCGUUUCUUACAAGAAAAUAGUCCACCAUAUAGCUUUGAGCUCUCGGAACAUGGUUCGUCAAGUCAGGAUCUCCUUGUACAAUUACUGGAACUAUAUUGCAACCAUGAUACAUGAGAUAUAGACUCCGAGAAGCCUCUUAUCUCUAUACUCCAGCAAUGCUCCACAUGCAGCAAGGCAGCCCUUUAUUCAGCGUCAUUUUUAGUUGAGCGGAUCCAUCGUUGAGUUGGUGGACCAGUCCAACCAUCAAGUAUUAAAUUUUAUACUAAAGAUAAUGAAAAAUUUAGAAAAAUCUAAAACAAUAGAGUUAUGGUGCAAGCGGACAAAAAAAAUUAUUAUGGUGCUCUUAUAAAUUUUUAUGAGUUUGAUUAUUAUGGAAAGCUUAAGGUAGCAUUAUUUUGAGGUGAUUGAGUGGAUAUAAACUCACCUAGAAGUUUGAACUAAGACACAAAUGAGUUUAUAUUUAUAAAUUUUUCAAUGAUACAUACUAGUAUGUUAUUGAAGGAUGAUCUAUUCGUUUUUACAUCUCAAGCUCGAUAAGUAUUUUUUUUUUUGCAAGACUCAAAGGAUAAGGAAUGGACUGUUAUCAUUAAGACUAAACCUAGGUACUUGUAUGAUAUGGCGAAAGGGUUGGAGCAAGAGGAUAAUAUAUAAGACUUAUACUCAGUGUAUGCCUUGUAAUAUUGUCCCAACCGAUAAACUAAACGCUAUAACAAGUUUGGUUAGGAUGGAUGUUGAAGGAGAGAAGAAUAAUGCUUGAUUUUUAUUGGUGAGAAAUAUUUACGCUGUAUACAUUGUAUGAAAAAUAUUAUCUUCUUUUAUCAUGUUCGUUUAAUAAAUAUUGUUUCUUAUAAGCAAUUUAUUUAGUAUUGAUUUUUAUGUAACUGAUUGAUUUUUAUUUAUGCAUAUUAGAUAACAUUAUGCGCCGAGAAAAAUGAUUCAAAGAUAUAGAGUUUCAGCAUUCUCAAGCUGGAUCAUUUUUUGAUCAGUUCCUGCAGUCUCAACAGCAACACGAGCCCCAACAGCCUGAUAUACAUGACCAGCAAUACGAGCCCCAGUCUAGCAUGAGCCUCCUACUGAUUAUCCAGGCAAGAAAGUUAUUAUGGAUGACCUGCAGAUUCAGGAUAAUUUAAUUAAAAUAUUAAUAGUGCUAUUCCUAUUAUGAUUUAAUAUAUAUUUUAUUACAUGACACUUUAUUUUAUUUAAUGCAUAAUUAAUAGUGUUGAAUAUGUUUUUUGCUUUUUAUGUGUUUUUCGUAGAUAAAAAGAGGAGACUGGGGAUGAGACAAGGACCUACUUGAGCAAGGGAUCGAUGUGGGGCGGCUUCGUGAGAGUGAGAGGAUUGUCAUCGAUCUAAUGCAACCAAGUGGGCAGCCCCUCAAGAGGGCUGGAAGUAUAUUAGAAGGUUUUCUAGGUUCGAUUGCGUGGAAAGGUUAGUGUCCAUUCAACUAUGUUAAGUAGAAUGAUAUGCUUCUUUCGUAUAAGGUGGAGCUUCUACGAGUUGUACAAAACUCAAAAUAUAACAUCUAACAUCUAAAGCAGCAUAGUACUUUUUCCAUCAUCGUAACGUAACUUUUAUUAUGGAGCUGAUUUUAUGAUCUAGGUUAGACUUUGUUUCUGAAAAAUUUUCGGGGGAUGAUGAUGAGAAAAUACUUAUUGAGGUGUCUUCGUAUGAGAUCAAGUUGAUGGUUCGACAAGUAGUCCUGCGCUUUACUAUUCUGAUCAAUUCGAGGGAACCAACCCACCACUUCAUGCAUGCCUACGAAGGGAUGUAUAUUGAAAGAGUGAUGCUCCAUAACCAACUUAUGAUAAUAAAAUUCAAAACAUAACAUCUAAAUAGCAUACAAUUUUCCCAUCAUCAUCACAUAUAACUUCUAAUUAAACUACUGAGAUGGUUGUAUGGUCCCGGUCUGAAGUACGUUUCUUGUUAAAAAAAAACGAUCAUAUCCUUUUUCGAGAACAUAAUCUCGCUGAAACUUGCCAAAUCGUCUACUUUGUAAGGGGUGGCGUGAAGAUGAGAAUGCUUGGUGCCACCUUUUGAAUAAUGGAAGCACCUACUGCGUGGAAAAAAGAGAGAGAACGGACAGGAAGUGCUUCACCCCGUGUCCCUAGUCACACCAGGAGAGGUUUUAGCGUUGUGAGACGUCUCUGGCCCCGUCGUCCUUGCCGCACCGGGAUUGGUUUCGGCAGCAUCUUGAUGACCGAAGUGUUGAAAGGAGGGACAGACCAUUAAGUGCGGAAAUUGUUGACACUACGCCAUGGGAAAGCAAAUCAGAUAAUGACCUGAAACCAGGCUACUGGAACGUACUAAAGCUACGGUCCCGUCGCCUAGCCUUCUUCGCUACCUUCGUUGCGAGGCUACUCCAUUGCCUGCAGAUCCAAGUCAAACGAUUCUGAGCCCUGUCACGUCUAAAUGUACCUGAGAAAUUUGAUUAGUCAAAAGAGAAAUGUCGAUUACUGGAAAGCCUCUUGCAAUGCAGAAAACUUAUUGACAUUCUACAUACAUCUUCUCCAUUAAGGGGUAAAUAUAUUAUGAUAUUGUUAACCUUUGUUGAAUCACCAACCAGAGAGGGAAGUGCAUUUAUCUAAUGAGGAUUGCGGCCGCUGGUUUUUCUUUUCUAUGGUCUUACGUACCCAUCCAUAUGUAUACUCAGGCACAUUCAUCACAUAUGUAUGGCACUAGUAUGACAUGAAUUCAGAAGAUGUGAUGUAUCAAGGUGUUGAUAGAGGUUCUGCAUCUAGGCUGGAUGAGACACAAGGUUACACGUACAACUCAAUUAAAAUUAUCCAUAAAAUUUGCUACCUGUCUACCGCACUAGCCCGGCACUAGAUCCUUCUACAAUUUUUUAAAUAUCCUACCGUCCACGCUUGAGACAACAAACAGCCGUCCUUUUUGACAAUUUCAUCCACCCUGGGACGCAAAAGUCUUGUAAACGUGCCGCUCUCAAUACCAUACAUCCCACCACCUACCUUUCCAACUCUCAUGCACCCACAUAUCCAUGGCACGAAAAAACGCCUAUAAAUACCCCACCGACUCCAAUUCACGGCACAAACACCCAAGAACUUCCAGACAAACAAAAGCCAUGGUCCCAAAAUACCUUCUUCUAGCCCUUCUCGUAGGAGUGGUGGCUCUCACCACUCCCUCCGACGCUGGCCACAAGCCCCCGGAGACGAAGCCACCAACUCCUAUCCACAAACCUCCAACCGGACACAAACCCCCAACUCUUGCCGACGAGAAGAAGACGUCUGUGGACCAGCACAAGCCUCCUGCUCCUGGUGGCAAGCAUCCUGGUCCUCCUGGACACAAGCCGCCUUCCCUCUCCGAUGCCAAGGAUACUAGCCACAUCCCGGAGCCUAAGCCCAAACCAUAUGGGAAGCCACCGGUGCAUGUGAAGCCGCCGGGACCUUACAAGCCACCUCACAAGCCACCUCACAAGCCACCGUCCGCUGACCACCUGAACUAGAGAGGGCUGCUGUGCUGCAGCUCGACGCAUGGGGGUUGGAUAUCCAAAUAAGAGGCUUCCUUAGACGUUAUAUAAAAUACACACGCGGCAUGUGUCAUAAUUUAACGUUAUGCUUUUAUCUGUAUGCAUGACAUGAUUUCCUGCUACUAGCUAGAGAGGCCUCGAUCGCCAUGUGUACUGCUAUGUAUCUGGCUUUGCUAGUACAAUGAGAAACUUUGACAAGCCAAUAUCUUACUGGAAAAUACGUAAGUAGUGCUAAAUUAUCUUCUUGCCAAUGACUGGAGCUCUGGGCUACGUACCAUUUUUUUUCAUUAUAUAAAAUAAAAUCCGACAAGCGGUGCGAGGAUCCAUACGAGCAAGUUCUUAACCCUAUAUGGGUUGCAAUUAAUUAUACAAAACUAAAAAAUCUAAAUAAUAUUUGAUUGUUCAAUUUUUUUACUAGAAAAAGGUCUUGAAGUGUGAUAAAUGGUAAUAGAAUGGACUUGGCUCAAGGCGUUACUAAGAUUCGGCGGGUGCUGCAGUAUAAUUUUUUUUAGAGAGAGAAUGCUAAAACUUAAACGGAGAGGAGUAUAUGAGAGCUCUUGCAUAUAUGUUUUUUAGGUCAAAAAAAUCUAAAAAUCUAAAUAAUACUUUUUCAGUUGGCCUGUUUGGAUGAGCUCAUGGGUCGCUAUAAACAUAUUUCAACUUUUGGUGGGGUGUAGGGAUAUAGAGAAUUUGCAUGUCAAUGUGACUGAGGCUGUCCCUGUUGAAAAAGUUAUGAAGAGGAGGUGGUCCGUUGAGAAGGGCCCUGACUUUCGCACUGGAUUGCACUCGCCGCCACUAUUGCUCCUUGCCUUCGGCAGGCAUCUUUGUAAGGAAGAGCCCGUCCUUCUCUUUAAACGGCUUCAAUCCCGGCUUUGUGAAGUACAAGAUGGAAGAUUAUCUCCAACAAAUAAACCAACUGGGAGAAGUUGGAUUAUCCCACUAUCUCCAUCUAAGCCUCUCUGUUCUCCGAGGACUAUUUUGAGAAGCUAAUGAGAAUCCAACAAUCUUACCUAAGAAGUGAUGUAUGUUGGAUCGGACCCUCAUCUUUAGUUUCUUUUCUCAAUGAUCUCUUCAAGGAAUAUUACUUUCCACCUUACCCAACAAAGAAUAUUCGUUGUUGUACAGCUCAGCUCAGCACAUAGAGGGAGAGAGGAAAGUCAAUGAGGGGGAAAGGUCCAAUGUGGCAUCGGCUGCAGUCCACAAUAUAAACUACAGAACGUGUGUUGAGGCUAGACGCGUAGUAUACCUAAGAUACAUGUAUUUAGAGAUGCAGUGUUUCAUGAUUUUCAGGCCGGAUCAUCUUCUAAUCAGUCCCCAAAGUCUCAGUAGUCCCACUAGGCCUAGCACCUCGACAUACAUGACCAGCAACUCGAACCCCAGUCCCAGUACGAGCCUCCUGUUGAUUACCUAGGCAAAGAGGUUAUUAUGGAUGGCUUUCAGAUCCAGAAUAAUUUAAUUAAAAUAUCAAAAGUGUUAUUCCUAUUACAAUUUAAAUAUUUUAUAAUAUUUGACUUCAUUUAUUUAAUACAUAAUUAAUAGUUUUGAAUAUAUAUUUGUUUUCAUGUGUUUUUCAUAAAUGGAAAUGGGAGAGUGAGGACAAAACAGAGAUCUACUCGAGCAAGAGAUGUAUGACAGCUUCGUGAGGGUGAGAGGAUCGUCAUUCGAUGCAACCUAAUGGGGCAGCCCAGCAAAAGCGCUGGAAGCAUAUUAGCAAGUUUUCUAGGAUCAAUUAUGUGGAAAGAUCACCUGUAUCCGCUCAACUAUACUAAGUGGAAUGAUAUGCUUUCUUCGUAUAAGGUUAAGCUUCUGCGAGUUGUAUAGGUAAAAAAUUAAAUUUGAUAUUGUAUGUUAAUUUGCUAGAUAUCAUAAUUAUAUAAUUUGAUUUAACAUUUAUAAUAUUCUUUACUUUUGGUGUAGAGUAAGUUUGCGCUUUCUCUAGAAAGCCAUGACUGGGUGCUGAAGUCCCUCAACUACAAAUAGAAAAAAUUUAGGGAGAAGUUGAAGAUGGAGUACAGGGGAAAGGUUAUGACAGAAGAAUAGGUUGCUCGUAAUUGUCCUCCUGUUGUAUACCUUCAUAAGUGGAGAAAACUUGUUCACUACUGAUUUUGUAAGAGAUGACAAGUUAUGUGUACUCUCUUAAUAUCUUAUAUUUUAUUUUUUUAUUAAUAUAGAUUGCAAAUAUACACAUCAAAUAUAUUACACUGUCUACCAAAAUUGGUAGAGCUACAUGAGCAUCUUAUACUGUUCCUCACACAUCAAGCUCUAAGAGUUAUGUAAGGUAUGGAGAUAAAUUCAUAUUUUUCUUUUAAACUCUUUGGCAUAUUUCAAAUUCCUUGUUAGAUUUAUUUGUUUUAUAUUGAAAUACUUAUGCUUCUUAAUAAAACUAUGUAUUAUGUAUCGUGUGCCAUGUAUCAUGAUACUUAUGAGUCUUAUUAAAACUCUUUGACUUUUUUUACUUCAAAUUGAAAUUUUAAUCUUCAUAUUGGACUAUGUAUCAUGCAUCAUGUAUCAUAUAAUGUGUAUCAUGAACCGUGUAUCUUCUACCAUAUAUCACGUACUAUGGAUGAUGUAUCAUAUAACAUAUAUUUUUUGUUGUAGAUGGAAGAGCAUGGGAGGGAACCUGAUGAGGUAGAGUUCUACAGGAUGACUCAUACCCAUCGAGAUGGCAACUAUAUUUUUUCAAACAUUAAUAUGGAACUUUUUUUUAAAAUAUAGGAGAAGGCUACAUCCCUUAUUGCAGAACGUGUUGGAGACUCAUCAUCAUCUAGGGAGACCAGUCACGUCGAAUCUUAGGUGUUCACCAAAUUGAUGGAACCAGAGCGUUAUGGUCGAUUGAGGGGUUAUGACAUUGGAGUUACCCUCACUCAGUUGUCUGGAGUGAACAAAUAUACCCAUAAUGUUAGAUAUAGUAGUAGCACUGCAGACAUCCGUAAGUUGGAGACAAAGAUGGAGAAGAUGGGGCAAAGAAAUCAGAUAGAGAUAUAAUCUUUAAUGGCUCAGCUUGACCAAAUUACAAUUUUGUUGCAAAGGUUUGUCUCUCCUUAGAUAAAUAACUAUAUCUAUUUGAAUAUUUUACAUAAUUAUUGUGCAUAUUUUUAUAUGAGCUUAAUGAUUUAUAAUACUUUGCAAUUCUUGUAUUCUCAACUUCUAAAGUUUUUAUUUUUUUUCUUAUAGAUUUUUGAUACUUCUAGCAAUUGUAGAGAUGAUGAUGAUGAUGCCAUGAACCACUAAUAGCCCUUAGACUUUUUUUAAGAGUUUUAUGUAUAUAUUUUUAUGUUUUUGGAAGCACUUUGAGUUGUAAUGGAUAUUCAAUCAUGUUUGACAACGCAAAUAUAAUCAAAUUUGAUAAUAUAAAUAUUUGCUAUUUUUAUAUAUGAUAUAUGUGUUAUUAUAUGACUUCUGUUACGUAUGUAUUUAAUAUAUACUUUUGUAUACAGAUUUUUAUAAUUUUUAAAAUAAAUUUAAAAAAUACUUUAUAUUUAAGAUACUAAAAAGCGUCACCAUAUUUUAAAGUUAUGAUAAUGGAACUCAAAAUAUAACAUCUAAAUUCUAAAGCAACAUAGUACUUUUCCUGUCAUCGUUGCAUAACUUUUAUCAUGGAGAAGAUUUUAUGAUUUAGGUUAGCGGUUCUGUUCCCGAAAAAUUUCCGGGGGGAUGAUGACGAGAAUUAAAAUAUUGAUGUCUUCGUAUGAAAUCAAGUUGAUAAUUGGACAAGUAGUCCUGCGCUUUACUAGUCUAAAUUCAAGGGAACCAACCCACCACUUCAUGCAUGUAAUGUCCGGGCCCAGAACCUACUAGGCCCAAUAAGAAGUAGGCCCAGUUAGGGGUUUGGGCCCAAAUUUUUACUGUGGGCAGUAUUAUUAUAAUGGUUAUUAUAAUGGUUAAAAAAAAUAAAAACGAAGGGAUAAGACCGACAGGGAAGGGUUACCUCACCCCCUGCUGGCAGCCGAUGCCGGGCCGGAGACAAGGGGGGCGGCGGCCAGUCCCGGAGCAGGGAGGAAUGGAGAGGAUGGGACCUCUCAGAGGGGGGGGGGUCUCAUCCUCUAAACAAAUUAUUUAAGCCUCUGCCGGCAACCCCAAGGGACAGACCCCCUAGAAUACUGAACGAGAGAGUGAGAGAGCCGAAGCCUUGGAGCCGAAGGCAAAGGAGCCCUGAAGCUCCAAGAGGAAGGAGGGACUACCAGGGGGAGAACUGCCCAACGGUAACCAGCAAAAAUCCAGGUAAGUGGCCCCUUUUAAUAAAAUUUUAGGAAGUGGGGAAAUCCUCUGUGGGGUAUUCUCCCCUCUGUUUCAACUAUGGGACAAAGAGGAGGAGACCGGCAGAAGGGAGAAGGGUCACGGGCCGGACCCAUAGACCUCGGACCGGCCUGAGAACGGCCGCGGCCCAAGGCCAGGCCCGAUGACCACUCGGGCCGAGCCGCCUGCAGGGCACCGCNNNNNNNNNNNNNNNNNNNNNNNNNNNNNNNNNNNNNNNNNNNNNNNNNNNNNNNNNNNNNNNNNNNNNNNNNNNNNNNNNNNNNNNNNNNNNNNNNNNNNNNNNNNNNNNNNNNNNNNNNNNNNNNNNNNNNNNNNNNNNNNNNNNNNNNNNNNNNNNNNNNNNNNNNNNNNNNNNNNNNNNNNNNNNNNNNNNNNNNNNNNNNNNNNNNNNNNNNNNNNNNNNNNNNNNNNNNNNNNNNNNNNNNNNNNNNNNNNNNNNNNNNNNNNNNNNNNNNNNNNNNNNNNNNNNNNNNNNNNNNNNNNNNNNNNNNNNNNNNNNNNNNNNNNNNNNNNNNNNNNNNNNNNNNNNNNNNNNNNNNNNNNNNNNNNNNNNNNNNNNNNNNNNNNNNNNNNNNNNNNNNNNNNNNNNNNNNNNNNNNNNNNNNNNNNNNNNNNNNNNNNNNNNNNNNNNNNNNNNNNNNNNNNNNNNNNNNNNNNNNNNNNNNNNNNNNNNNNNNNNNNNNNNNNNNNNNNNNNNNNNNNNNNNNNNNNNNNNNNNNNNNNNNNNNNNNNNNNNNNNNNNNNNNNNNNNNNNNNNNNNNNNNNNNNNNNNNNNNNNNNNNNNNNNNNNNNNNNNNNNNNNNNNNNNNNNNNNNNNNNNNNNNNNNNNNNNNNNNNNNNNNNNNNNNNNNNNNNNNNNNNNNNNNNNNNNNNNNNNNNNNNNNNNNNNNNNNNNNNNNNNNNNNNNNNNNNNNNNNNNNNNNNNNNNNNNNNNNNNNNNNNNNNNNNNNNNNNNNNNNNNNNNNNNNNNNNNNNNNNNNNNNNNNNNNNNNNNNNNNNNNNNNNNNNNNNNNNNNNNNNNNNNNNNNNNNNNNNNNNNNNNNNNNNNNNNNNNNNNNNNNNNNNNNNNNNNNNNNNNNNNNNNNNNNNNNNNNNNNNNNNNNNNNNNNNNNNNNNNNNNNNNNNNNNNNNNNNNNNNNNNNNNNNNNNNNNNNNNNNNNNNNNNNNNNNNNNNNNNNNNNNNNNNNNNNNNNNNNNNNNNNNNNNNNNNNNNNNNNNNNNNNNNNNNNNNNNNNNNNNNNNNNNNNNNNNNNNNNNNNNNNNNNNNNNNNNNNNNNNNNNNNNNNNNNNNNNNNNNNNNNNNNNNNNNNNNNNNNNNNNNNNNNNNNNNNNNNNNNNNNNNNNNNNNNNNNNNNNNNNNNNNNNNNNNNNNNNNNNNNNNNNNNNNNNNNNNNNNNNNNNNNNNNNNNNNNNNNNNNNNNNNNNNNNNNNNNNNNNNNNNNNNNNNNNNNNNNNNNNNNNNNNNNNNNNNNNNNNNNNNNNNNNNNNNNNNNNNNNNNNNNNNNNNNNNNNNNNNNNNNNNNNNNNNNNNNNNNNNNNNNNNNNNNNNNNNNNNNNNNNNNNNNNNNNNNNNNNNNNNNNNNNNNNNNNNNNNNNNNNNNNNNNNNNNNNNNNNNNNNNNNNNNNNNNNNNNNNNNNNNNNNNNNNNNNNNNNNNNNNNNNNNNNNNNNNNNNNNNNNNNNNNNNNNNNNNNNNNNNNNNNNNNNNNNNNNNNNNNNNNNNNNNNNNNNNNNNNNNNNNNNNNNNNNNNNNNNNNNNNNNNNNNNNNNNNNNNNNNNNNNNNNNNNNNNNNNNNNNNNNNNNNNNNNNNNNNNNNNNNNNNNNNNNNNNNNNNNNNNNNNNNNNNNNNNNNNNNNNNNNNNNNNNNNNNNNNNNNNNNNNNNNNNNNNNNNNNNNNNNNNNNNNNNNNNNNNNNNNNNNNNNNNNNNNNNNNNNNNNNNNNNNNNNNNNNNNNNNNNNNNNNNNNNNNNNNNNNNNNNNNNNNNNNNNNNNNNNNNNNNNNNNNNNNNNNNNNNNNNNNNNNNNNNNNNNNNNNNNNNNNNNNNNNNNNNNNNNNNNNNNNNNNNNNNNNNNNNNNNNNNNNNNNNNNNNNNNNNNNNNNNNNNNNNNNNNNNNNNNNNNNNNNNNNNNNNNNNNNNNNNNNNNNNNNNNNNNNNNNNNNNNNNNNNNNNNNNNNNNNNNNNNNNNNNNNNNNNNNNNNNNNNNNNNNNNNNNNNNNNNNNNNNNNNNNNNNNNNNNNNNNNNNNNNNNNNNNNNNNNNNNNNNCAGGCUCGUUUCAGAGCCUGGGUAUAUGAGGCGGGUGCUUCCAAAUCCUGCAGAUGCGUUUUUGGGGAGAAGCAAAAUCGGUGAGGGGUGAAGGACGCUUGCAUGAAGCCCCGGAACCGGCCAACAUCUGGCAGGGGAGCCCCGUGUUUCCCCCUCAUGUGGGCCCGAUAGUCACGUGCCCUGCGCAGGCGGGCCGUGACAUCUAUGAACGUGCAUGGCCAAAGCAUACAUUGUUUUACAAUGGAUUUUUGAAUAUAUCCUUAUGAAAUGUUGUAUUUUGCUAUAACCGCUAUCUCCUUUAAAUUGCAUACCUAUUAUGCCAUGAUGAUGAUUAGAUAAAUAUGCAUGUCAGCUUCUCAAACCCUGCAUAAACAUGGUUACCGUUAUGUUCGAUCCGGUAAGAUUAUGUAUGAUUACUUACUGAGCCGUGUAGCUCAUAUCCGUUCAUUUACUUUUUCUUUCAGAUCCUUACUACUGAUAGCUGUCAGAGACACGUUAAUUUGGUAUCAGGGCUUCUUUCUUUUGGGGUAAAGCAAGUAUACUUUUGUGUACAUAAACUACAUAGAAGCUCUGUAUUUGGGUACUGACCAGCAUGUUGUACUAAGAAUGCUUUCAUAUGAAAAGAUUCGGUUGGUUUGACUACCCUGUUACCCAGGUAUGAGGCUGCGUGCUAUUGUGGGCGGUAGUCGACAAUAGCACGGCCGUGUCACGGAUCCGGGUCCGGGGCGUGACAAUGCAUGCCUACGAAGGGCUGUAUAUUGAAAGAGUGAUGCUCCAUAACCAACUUACGAUAAUAAAAUUCAAAACAUAACAUCUAAAUAGCAUACAAUUUCCCCAUCAUCAUCCCAUAUAACUUCUAAACUACUGAGAGUCUGAGAUGAUUGUAUGGUCCCGGUCUGAAUUUAAGUACGUUUCUUGUUAAAAAAAACGAUCAUAUCCUCUUUCGAGAACAUAAUCUCGCUGAAAGUUGCCAAAUCGUCUACUUUGUAAGGGGUGGCGUGAAGAUGAGAAUGCUUCAGUGCCACCUUUUGAAUAAUGGAAGCACCUACUGCGUGGAAAAAGAGGAGAGAACGGACAAGAAGUGCCUCACCCCGUGUCCCAAGUCACACUAGGAGAGGUUUUGGCGUUGUGAGACGUCUCUGGCUCCGUUGUCCUUUGCCUCACGGGGAUUGCUUCCGGCAGCAUCUUGAUGACCAAAGUGUUGAAAGGAGGGACAGACCAGCCGAACCCUCCGGGCCAUUCAGUGCGGAAAUUGUUGACACUCACACUACGCCAUGGGAAUGCAAAUCAGAUAAUGACAUGAAACCAGGCAACAGGAACGUUCUAAAGCUACGGUUCCGUCGCCUGGCCCACUUCCCUACCUUCGUUGUGAGGCUACUCGAUUACCUGCAGCUCCCAAGUCAAACGAUUCUGAGCCCUGUCACUUCUAAAUCUACCUUAGAAAUUUGAUUAGUCAAAAGAUAAAUAUCGAUCACUGGAAAGCCUCUUGCAAUGCAGAAAACUUAUUGACAUUCUACAUACAUCUUCUCCAUUAAGGGGUAAAUAUAUUAUGAUAUUGUUAACCGUUGUUGAAUCACCAACCAGAGAGGGAAGUGCAUUUAUCUAAUGAGGAUUGCGGCCGCUAGUUUUUCUUUUCUAUGGUCUUACGUACCCAUCCAUAUGUAUACUCAGGCACAUUCAUCACAUAUGUAUGACAACUAGUAUGACAUGAAUUCAGAAGAUGUGAUGCAUCAAGAUGUUGAUAGAGGUCCUGCAUCCAGGCUGGAUGAGACCCAAGGUUACACGUACAACUAAAUUAAAAAUAUUCAUAGAAUUUGCUACCUAUCUACCGCACUAACCCGGCACUAAACCCUUCUACAAUUUUUCAAAUAUCCUACUGUCCACGCCUGAAACAACAAAAGCCGUCCUUUUUGACAAUUUCAUGCAACCCGUGACGCGAAAGUCCUGUAAACGUGCCGCUCUCAAUACCAUGCUCCCCACCACCUACCAUUCCAACUCUCAUGCAGCCACAUAUCCAUGGCCCAAAAAGACGCCUAUAAAUACCCCACCGACUCCAUUUCACGGCACAAAACCCAAAAACUUCCAGACAAACAAAAGCCAUGGUCCCAAAAUACCUUCUUCUAGCCCUUCUCGUAGGAGUGGUGGCUCUCACCACUCCCACCGACGCUGGCCACAAGCCCCCGGAGACGAAGCCACCAACUCCGAUCCACAAACCUCCAACCGGACACAAACCCCCAACUCUUGCCGACGAGAAGAAGACGUCUGUGGACCAGCACAAGCCUCCUGCUCCUGGUGGCAAGCAUCCUGGUCCUCCUGGACACAGGCCGCCUUCCCUCUCCGAUGCCAAGGAAACUACAAACGGGUACGGCCACAUCCCGGAGCCUAAGCCCAAACCAUAUGGGAAGCCACCGGUGCAUGUGAAGCCGCCGGGACCUCACAAGCCACCGUCCACUGACCACCUGAAUUAGAGAGGGCUGCUGUGCUGCAGCUCGAUGCAUGGGGGUUGGAUAUACAAAUAAGAGGCUUCCUUAGACGUUAUAUAAAAUAUAAACGCGGCAUGUUUGAUAAUUUUAACGUAAUGCUUGUAUCUGUAUGCAUGACAUGAUUUCCUGCUACUAGCUAGAGAGGCCUCGAUCGCCAUGUGUACUGCUAUGUAUCUGGCUUUGCUAGUACAAUGAGAACCUUUGACAAGCCAUUAUCUUAAUGGAAAAUAUGUGAGUAAUGCUAAAUUAUGUUCUUGCAAAUGACUGGAGCUCUAUGCUACGUACCAUUUUUUUCAUUAUUAUAAAAAAAAAAAAAUCCGAUAAGUGGUGCGAGCAUCCAUGCGAGCAAGUUCUCAACUCUAUAUUGGUUGUAAUUAAUUAUAC
rnacentral:lncRNA from 1 species